AGAGCUGGUUAAAGCGUUCUACUUCCAAAGAACUCAAGUAUGUUCUAGGAACUUUAGUGUGCCAGGGUGAGCUAGAGAAAGAUCCUAGAACAUGCUGGGUGUGGCUCUCCUCGAAAGGCCUCCGAGGAGACCAUGUAGCUCAGUUAGACCAGUUGCUCUAGGUUAGUGCUUGUUAAAGAGAAAUUCUGAGCCUACUGCAGUGGGUUCAGGCCUGUAUUCUCAGCUAUUGUGCCGGGGACUUGAGCAGGAGGCUCGUGUGAAACUAAGAAAUUAACUAACCCAACCUGGUUAACAAGCAGGAAUAUCCCUUUGUCCAGGAGUAAAAAGAACGUUUUAAAAAAACUUUAAUUUCAAGUCGUACCUCAUUUUGAUAUAACAUCAACAGUUCAGGUUUGACGUGAUUUAAAGGGAAGGAAUGUGUGUGUGUAAUAACCUAAUUGACAAGCAAUCGUGCCCAAUUCUCGCCCAAAGUUACUCUAGUGUUCAGAGGGCCAUUUUGUUUAAUUUGUUUUUUCAUAUCAUUUCUGGUGGGAAAAUACAUUUCUCUGAUACCCAAAUUAACUUGAUUGAAAUGUCUUAGACCUUGCCAUUUUCCAGUGGCUAAAGAGGUUAUUUCUCAAGUGUUUAAUUUUGUAAGUACAGUAUAUAUUAAUCUAACUGCUCCUGUCUGACAGUCUCACUCCAUGAGACAGUGUCAGCAAAUGUUUACUUACACCUCACUCCCCACCCCACUGCAAAAUUACUCAGCUUGAAAAUAUAUAAACUUUAAAUUGAGGUUUUCAGAAACUUGAACCACUUCUUGAUUUGCUCAAUAUAAUUUUCCUAAUUUCUUUACAAUAUUCUAAAACAUAUAUCAGAAAGGAAACACUUAAAAAACUGAUGCAGUCUAUAGGACCUGUCCAGUCAGAAAUUAUUUUGGGGAGGCUUCAUUUGUCAAACACGUACCUUUAAAUACUUGCAUGUAAAGAGUUUUAGUCAUUUAACAUAAGACGUUCCGUUCAUCCAUGAAAAGUGCAGACUGCAUUGGACUUCUGAUUUCUGUAUAACAUUGUUGCCAUUUUCUUCUUUAGGGACUGAAGCUAGAAGGUGAAAUAAAAAUAUUCUUUGUCCAUUUAGUUAUCCUUGACUCCAUGAAGUUCUCCAAAGUAAUUACUGGUGACCACAAUACCACCUACCGGUGGUGGCAGCGGCGUUGGCCCUGGACCAGCUGCCUUAUUGCUGACCACAGCUGCUCCUGAGCAGAGCAGAUGUUUCUCCUUUUGCCUUGGCAGUAAAAUUUUAUUGAGCAGUUUUGCAAAUACAGAGCAGCAUAUUCUACCUGAGGAUGGCUGGAGAUCGCAGCCACUUCGUGCAAUGCUAUGGGAUCUGUCUGGGCUGCCCACAGGCCCCACCUCUGGGCACGUGGGUCUCACUUGAAGGCUCAGGACUUGUCUACUGAGGCUGUGGUGGGUUUGCUUCCCUGCCCACCUGUGUGCUGGAACAGGAGCCACACUUGGAGUUAUGACCGACUGCUUUGAAAGGCCAUUGGCACUUUGCUCUCCCCGUUUGCGGCUGACAAAGGGAGCAAGGGUACUUUGUUGGGCUGUUUUGUUAGGGCACUUCCCUGAGCUCCACAUCUCUUCUGGUUUGGAUGUGGGCUUGGAAAUCUCUCUUGAAUUAGCUUCUUUUGGAGAACUGUCUGCCUCGUGGGCACUUCUUAAAUCAUGCCUGUCGAGGCCCUGAAGGAAGUGAGGUAGUCUAAGACAGUGUCUUUGUAGGCGGGACCUCUGGGGGUCCUUCUGACACUGGCAGUUCACACGUCUGCUUCUUCUCUGACAUGCUUAUUCUGAGUUCCUUGCCCCUGGAUAAAGGGAUGAUUUUGUGGAUUGUGGCUGAUACUUUGCAACAGUAGGAGGAGACAGAAAGGUCUAGCCAUACUGAGCUUCCAGGAGGACCUUGAGUUUGAUGUUCUAGAUCAACCUAGGCUACUCAGCAAGCUCCAGGACAGUGAGAGCAUUUAGUCAGGCUCUACCUAGAAGAGGAGGAGGAGGAUAUAUUGGGGGUGGAGGAGAAUCCUCCAUCAUUCCAGAUGUUUCCCAAGAACUUUUCAGAAAAGCAUGAUGCUAGCCGUUGAGGGUAUAGGCAUGGCAUGGAUUCCCACAGAGCCUUGGGCCUUGGGAAGAAGGGUCAGACAUAAGAUCAGAGGGCAGAGGCCAUGUGAGAAUGUGACUGGUCUGCACUUCCUCAGCAGACAGGAAGUGUUAGUGACACUCAGUUCCAGAGCAUGUCACUGUGGGAAUUGAUCUGGCAGGCAGAUGACCAAUCCUGAUAGCCUGAUAAUAAAUAAGGCUUCUCAUCGCAGCACCGGACACCAGAACUUCAUUGCAUAUUCUAUGUGGUCCGUAGGAGGUGCAUAGGAUAUGCGGAGAGGCUAUGUUAGACACACAGGUCAAAAGCGUAAAGUAGAGCAUCCACUUUCCAAAUGUUCUUAUGAGGGCGGGGGACACAGAUCUGCAAGCACAAGAACCCUGUGUGCAAGCUCUAGCAGUGACCUCCUCAAACAGUGUAUACUUAGGAGCACUAGAAACAUAAAAUGUCGUCAUUCUUCCGUGACCUUUUGUGGAUUAAUAUUUUUCUUCUUUUUUCUACUACUCCUGUAAAAUUGUAUUUUAAAAAUACAGACCGUAAAGCAGUGCCUGCAUUCCCUGCUGCUCUGGUAUUUGACUCAGGCUUGCCCUCCCCUUCUUUAUUCUGUUCCCAGAACGAGGUCUUCUUAAAUGGGGAUGAGAAAUGUUAAUUUUAAUCCUCCGAGGGCUUAUUUGCUAGCACAAAAGGUCAUGAAACACACACCCAAAAACGGUUUUGCUUAGAUCGUAAGCAGAGAUGUUAGCAGAGUCCCAUCAGAACUGUUGAGUCUCAGAAGUCCCCAUCGCCAUCGUUCGGAGAGCUGUGGAAUGGAAGCAGUCCCCCCUUACUGAUGGGAGGGGAGACCCCGUCUGAGCCCUCUAUUAUUUCAGGAAUUUCAGAAAAUAAUUCUUUUCAAGACUUUGUAAAAUGAUGGUGUGUUGUGUCCAAGAGUCUCUAAGUAGCUGUUCUCUGUCUGAUGUUUUGGUUUGGGGAUUUUUGAGACAAAGCCUUACCAUGUAGCCCAGGCUGGCCUUGAAUUUAUAAAAUUCCUCUCACCUCAGCCUUCCUAGAACUGGGAUCUACCAUACACAGCUCCCAGUGUUUUAUCUGUCCAAGGAAAGGUCCUUCCAAUAGCUAGCUGAUAGAGUACACCUCUCUCUCUCUCUCUCUCUCUCUCUCUCUCUCUCUCUCUCUCUCCCUCCCUUCCUCCCUCCCUCCCUCCCUCCCUCUCUCUCUCUCUCUCUCUCUCCCUCUCUCUCUCUCUCUCUCUCUCUCUCUCUCUCUCUCUCUCUCUGUGUGUGUGUGUGUGUGUGUGUGUGUGUGUGUGUGUGUGUGUGUGUCCAACCACACUUAAUGUUCUUGAAACUUCCUUUUGGGAAGACCCAAGGCAUUCAGCUUCACUCCCACCAAGAUUCUCAACUGAAAGCAGACGAGGAAAGUUUAAAAAGUUCCCACCCCACCCAAACCAAGGUAAUUAAUAUGAGCAGCAGCAGCAGCAGCCACUGUAGAAGGGAAGAAGGUUAUGAACUGGGCUGGUGUUAUCCUUGGGUGCAGGGAGAAGCUUUAAGGAAAGGUCAUAACUUGGACCCUGGAGAGAGAUGUGUCUUCAUGGCUGAACGUAUUUCUAAUUCACUUGUCUUCUUCAGCAUGUAUGUAAAAAAACAGGUUAUUAAAAGAAGAGAAGAGAAGAAAAUCUAAUUUAAAACACAAAUUCUAAGGUGGUAUACUGCAGGCCUGUAAUCCCAGCAGAAGGGAGGAUUAGUUUGGAGCCAGCCUUGGCCACAGGUUAAGUUUGGCAAGCUUGGUAGCGUGAGACUCUGCCUCAGAACAACAACAGUAAAACUGAUGUAAACAAACACACGUUCUAGUGAUUUGAAGCCUAGAUUUAUAAGCAAGAGCUCUUUAAUACACUAUGAAUGAGUAUAGCCCUCAGGUCUACUGAGCCGUUGGGCAGAUCCGAGUGCUUUUAUGAAACAGGAAGAGAGAAGAGGCUCUGCUUGGGAAAACAAGGCCUAGCUGAGCACCUCUCUUCUGUGUCACGGUCUGAUGCCUAGGCGAGUGCCAGAGACCUCAGAAGCAGAAGGUGAUGGAUACAACCAAGGAAGAGAAAGAAAGCAGCCUCCCGUAAGACCACUGCAGGCCACUCCCAGCAAUGAGUUCCUAUGAGCACACGGGUUGGGCCAAGAGCUGGUGAUCUGGAAGCCAGGCUGAGCUCCAGAUAUUAAGAAACAUUCAGCUCUGCAAGAGUUAAUGACCUCAGAUUCUGCUCCCCAACCCAAAAGUGAGUGCGGGCCAGAUAAUCACUAGGGAUGUCUUUUUGGUUCAAGGAACCUGUGAAGCUUGCCUUUGAAAAGGAGUCCUCCUCUAUUGGCUGAUCUCAGAAGACUUCUAUAACUGACGGCUACCUUGAGAUGCUUCAGAGCAGGGCCCUCUUCAUGCUAGAGAUGACUCCAGAGCCCAACACACAGUUCCACCACUGCUUCCACUCCCUGACCCUACCCCAGCAAACUCUUAGCCCAUUUCCUAUACACCAGUCUCAGAUCACUAGUACAAGAUCUAGGUAUUGUAAGCCCAGUUAGAAGGCAAAACAAUCAAACUCUGGGCUCCCACACACACUGGCAUGUGACCUGACUUUCCAAAGAUCUGUCAGCCUAGUGGUAGGCUGGUGAAGAUUAUGUGGAUAUUAGGUCCAGAUCUAAUGAAUUUAGGAUUCGGUACUGGAAAAGACUGGAUCCUGGUGCAUCCGAGACUUUGCUUGUGAAGCCUCCGGAGUUGUUGACUGAUGUGUUAGUCUCCUGGGACAGGGCUGCACACUUGGGAAAGUAGCAGGAGCAUCAGAUCUCCUCAGGUCAUCUGCCCCCAUAAAAACGCCAUGGCAACUAGGAAAAGGCUGGACCGCUGGGUUCCCAGCAAGACUGGGUUAUUGUACAAAGCCACCCAGUCCAUCUUUGUUUAUGGGACUCGUUUUCGGGCACACGUGUUUUAUAGUGAGGCGGAGACUGUAAAGAAGCUAUUUAUAAUGAAGACCCUAAAUAUGUGAGCGUCAUAUUAAGCUUGAUCUAAAGGAACUUCCCAUGGGUGGCAGUUUAGGAGAAAAGGGAGCAAAGGAUGAGAAAGGGGGGUGGGGGGGACAACUAAUAAAAAUAGCUGAGAUCACUCAACAGUUAUCAGGAAACAGAUACUACAGUUUUAUAACAUGAAGUCCUAAAAGUAUAUGCACUCUUAAAAGGCAAUUAAAACGUAUGCUCCACAGCUAUAAAACAUUUUCUUUUCAUCUGCAACAUAGAGGGCAGAUUACAACACAUUAAUAACGUUUUGUUUAGAGUUCAGUUUCUGAUGGUUUCCAAAUGUAGUCUGUGUAGAUUAACCAGAAGGAGUCCAGUUCCCUUUUUUAAGAGGGCUUGUAAAGGAAAGCAAUGUGGUAAGAUUGUUAUGAAAAGAGAGUGUAUUUAGGAAAUAGCACUUAGCAGGGUCUCUCUGAAUGGCUGCCAGGUCAGGAAGCUGAAGUGCAAGGCUUGGCCCUUGUUCAGCCCCCCCAGUUCCAGCUCCUUGACCACACAGUACGUCAGGAGCAUGUCACAAGCCAGCCAGGAAGGCUUAGCCCCGCCCCUGGACCAGCUUGGCACAGCAGCUUUCACAUAACCCAGGGCUCCAGAGGGGCCAGAGGCAGGCAUUCCAGGGCCACGGGAACAAGCAAUUUUUAAAAUAGAAAUGAAGAACUUUUUUUAAGCCUGGGAAUUAAACAGUUCCUAGGUCCUUAUGGAACAGGGCCCCUUGUGUAGAGUGUCAGGGGUAAAAAGGUCCCUAAAGGUUAUCUAAUUCUCGGUCCUCAUUCCGAGGCAGUGACAUGGGAGCAGUCCUGAAGUCCCUAUCCCUGAGUUCUCUGGCUGUUAGACUCACUGUCACUGGCCUCAGUCUCAUGUCCUCUGAGUUCAGGAGCCAGCCUCACUGCUCUCCCAUCCUCUCUCUCCCUCUUGGUUUUGACUCUAGGUGUCCGUCCAUCCCAUGCUGUACCUACAACCUUUGUAACGACUCAGAGUCUCAGCCUUAGCUGCUUCUACAAACCAUGCUGUCAGCAUCCGCUUCACUGUUAGCAGGACGGUGAAACACGCGCAUGCUUCAGUUCCAGUUCCUUGCUCCAUAUGAACCUGUUGUUAGUAAUGGCAUUCAGGUUGUUUCAUGUUUGUGAUUUUCACUACUGUUAACUUGUGCAGUUGCUGUAGUUAGAGUCACCUUUAGGAAUGUGGCCUUGUGAAUGCCAGGGUUGCCUAAGGUAGAGUAAAAAGGUCACAAGCCACCAGAAGUCUAGACCAAUGCUGCCAGGAACCCUGCGGUUAGAUGCCAGAUGCCAGCUGAGGAACCUGGAUUCCCAGGGGUCCUCCUCCCUGUUGCUGUCCUGUUUGGUUCCAGGGUUAACUUUGUUCAUGCGUUUCACUGAAAUAGGCCUUGGAGCUGUGGGGUAUCUUUUGUAAUUCAUUCUCCUUGGCUUCCUUGCGAUCUGGCUUUACUUUUGCUAGCCUACUUUGGUCAUUGGAUGGAAUCUUGUCUAAUUUACAUAUAAAAGGAACUCUGUUGAUGAAAGAGCCUUCAGCUAAUAGGCCUGAGACCUAAAUCCUGUAGGCUUUCUUCUCUGUUUGGCCCACUGGGACCCUAGUUAAAAUCGCAGUUGUGCCCUUGUUCCUUAGUCAACCUAGAGACAACCCUGCUGGAAAACUCAAGAGAGCCAGCCGCCUUCCUCGUAGGUUAUUAGGGAACAAUCCCCUAUAAAAGUUAAGUGGAUGUUUUUCAUUUAAAACCUUGAAGAGGCUUAGCCCUGCUGGGUUGCUGCCGGCCUCCCUCAGCAGGACCCUGGAGGCCUGUGGUAAUAACCCUACUCUGAAGAUGACUUAACUUUCUAGCUGCUAUGGCCAGCAUAUUUCUUUUUAAAUACAAGACUCACGGGUUUAGAAAGUAGAAUUGUUACCUCAGUCGAUACCUGGGUGACCUUCCCUUUGGACUCCUAUCCCUCUGCCACUACCUGACAGCGGGGGUCAUAACAAAGCCAUCAUUUACCUAAAAAAAAAAAAAAAAAAAAAGUCAACUACAAGCUCAUGUGACUUCAGUAAGAACAUUUUUAAUCUUAAAUCAUUCAGUUCCUGUAUUUUGCCUGGUCACAGUGAAAUGACCCUAUUUUGUCACCUCGCUUUUUUCUCCCUGAUACCUUCCUCUGUGGGCCUCUUGUUUCAUUACAAUAAUCUGAGUUUGUUCUGAAGGCACUGGUGAACGUUUUUUCUCAAAAACUUGUCUCAAGGAAGCACAAUGACUUAUUGAAGUUUCAUAUGUUACUUGCUCUCAACUCCCAGAGAUCAGCAAAGAUCCUUCACCUUUUUCUCCACCCCAGACGUGGAUGAAAAUAUCAGCAAUUCCUGUCUUCUGUCACUUGUCACAAAUACUUUCCCAAGCUAAUCUCACUUAGGAUUUGCCAAGGAACAGAACCAAAGCACAGGGGGUCACUACUCACCUCUGGGUUCCCUUUCACAAGGUAAGAAGAGACUGAGGUUAGACAUGCCGCAGAGACCCUGAGCCUGGAGGAACUGGAGUAGUUUGUAAUCCCAGCAGCCGGGACACAGAAGCUUGGCCCACAGGUCACAAGCCUGCCCAGGUGUUACUGACAUACUGUCUCUAAGAGUCGGGGUGGGAGGAGGGAAGGACAGUUGGAUGAGCUGGACCAAACUGCUUCCCUAGCUGCCCUCUAUUUAGUUUCUACAUUCUGCUUUCCUAUGUUUCUUCUCCAUGCCACUGUCUCCAAAGCAUGCAUGCAGCUACCAAGGAGACAGAGACCUCGUCUCCAUACUUCUGCGCCCACAGUGGUCAUAUCCUCAUGAGCAAGGAGUAGGUGUCAGCCCUGAAAUCAGAGAAGGCUUGGCUCUGUGCUUCUCUCUGGGUGCUUUACUGCUGUGUCUGUAGAGAGUGAAGCUUUUCCAACAGAAAGGUCGGUCUUCGGAAUUCUUUUAUAGACUGUUUUAGCCAUACUGUGUGUAGGGUUCAGAGACUUGAGGGUUUCUGCUGUAGCUGCUUAUGUGGGAAACGCACCACAGCGUUCCUUUCCCUGAGCUGUUUGUGGUAACAUCCUAGCAAUUUGUUUAGAUGUUCAGUGAAUGGUACCUUAUUAUUUUAUUAAGUGAUGGGGUUUAACUUGAAGGAAACUUGAGUUCUUGAUGGUUUUCUUGGCAAGCUACUGUAUACAGAUUUCCUCCUAGACUCUAGGACUGGGAAGGCCGUACCACCCUUUCCUCUUAGAAAUGGAUCUUGGUCAAACAGAUUUCUGAACCUUCAAAUCACAACUGUCUCCUUUAUAUUUUAUUUUCUGACUUUUCUUAUACCUUUCACAGUGAGUAUAUGUUACCCACCACACCCUCAGCCUCUGCUGGUAGGCAUAAGCCAGUGGCCCAGUGACUUUAUGCAGUGGAGGCACUUUCUGACAGAAACGUUGUAGACUUACUUUCAAAGAGGCCCUGACCUAGACCACCCUACAGAGGCCAAUAAGUCUCUUGCCAUCAAGCCUGAAGCAGUUUCUUCUCUGGUUGGCUUUCUGUGGAUAUCUUUGUCUAGGGAGUUCACGGUGUCAGAGAUCAAUGUGCGCCUCUUGACUUUGAAGACACUGAGUCAGUGAGGCACGAGGAGUUAGGUGGUUAGCCAGCUGGAGACAGGGCCACGUAAAGCAACCCCUUCAUAAGGAACCCGAGGAGUUCCGGGCUAUUUCUGUCCUGUGGCCCAAGAAGCACUAGCAGCCCAGGCCUCAACCUGCAGAAAGGCAAGAGCUCAGUGCUGGCCUUAAGCAUGGUUCCAAGAAAGUCCUCUGGCAGUCUCAGGUACCACUAGGUGUCUGCCUUGGGGCUUAGACGACAGCACUAAAAUGAUAUGUCUGAUAGAGACAAGGAUCCUGGCUUUUGACACGUCUUCAAUCGUCUCUUCAUAUGCACAGAUAUACUCAGUCUCUCCUAAUGAGAAUACUUCAGUAGUCAUACAAGAAUCUUAACCAAAAUAACUGAAGUUUUCUCGUGUCAAAGCACUGUUCUCCUCACAAACUUUAAGGAAGCCAGAUGGUGGCACACCUGUGAGCCUGGCACUCUGGAGUCGGAGGUAGAGGAUUGUCAGCUCAAGGCCAUCUAGGGCUUUGUAGCAAGUUCAAGUCUAACUUGAGCUCCAUACACUGUCUUUCAAAGCCAAGAGUUAGGGACAGAAUUCAGUGGUGAAGGUUUACCUAACAUGUUCAGGACCCUGAGUUCCAUCCUAGAGUUGGAAACAGACUAGAAAGACACUUGGCUUAUAUGUUACUGCCUUUAAAUGAUGUCUCGGGUAAGGUAUUAUGGGGAGAAAUGGGUCUGAGACCACUAGUCAAAUAAUCCAAGAAAUGACAGUAUGUGGCCUUCGUUUAGCCCGUGACUUAGUCUGUUCAAACAUGAGCAGCUCAGAGGGUCUCAUGACUAUUAACUGAAAUGCGCAUGCAGUGUGCACAUGCUUAGUGGGGAUCGGGGAGACACAGUUCCCAAACCCUGGCUUCCACCUUAGUUCUAACUGAUAUCUUCUGUCUUGCUCACCACUUCUUGCUGAGAGGGCUGUGUGUGUGACAGAGUUGAUUGCUCACCAUCUCCCACACAUGCCUGACCUUCUCAUCUUCAUUCAGGUGCCCCUUUCCUCUGACGAGCCCUCCUUCCAGCAGACUCUUCCCUUAAAUCCCCUUGAUUACAUCACAAAAUGGAUUAAGUAUUACAGUAGAAAGAUGCUCAUUCCUUAGGCCCUGGCUUUCUAACAAGGGUGAUCAGACUCUCCUAAUGCAAUGGGACUGGGAUAUGCCCUUUGUCAUGUGUUUAGGAAGCUUGUUCUUACAGGGGAAGAAGCAGACAACACUGGCCAGUAUUGACCACUGACUGUCCUGUCCUAUUGUACAUAGCAUAUGGACUUGUGUUUGUAAUUCCUCUGAGAUAAGAUUUUUACCAACCCUUGUAAUUUUAUUAAUCCAUUCUAGACUGACAGAUGUUGCAGUGAGCCCUGAGCUCUUGAGGAUUCUUGUUUCAUUUCUGAUUAAAUGAUGAGUUUCCUCCUUAAACCCAAGGGUCUACGUAUGUACAGCCCUUCUCUCCUAAAGAUCUUGUUUGAGUGCCAGAAGGAACCUGGUUAUUCUCUGGUCAGAACCCAGUGGCACUUUCUAUAUCUGAACCCUUUCUAAAUGUUUCCUUCUUGCAAAGAUAACACCAGGUAUACUGUCAGCACUGAGAUAAUAACAGCUGGUAUACAGGCUUUACUUUUACUUGUGUUUUUACUUUGAAGGGGCCUGAAGAUAAUAAGUGGUGCCCAGAGAAUUAAUCUGUGUGGGUCUCCGUACUUCUCAAGGGUGCACAGAAUUUGAGAGCCCUGAAACUGAGCCGGAUAAUGACCCAGAGGUCUGCUAAGUGUUCCAGGGUGCUUGGUCCUUCGUUCUCCCUUAUUAGACUCCAGCCCUGCCUUUCACAGCACAGUAAUUGCUGCAGGGCGUCAGCCCAGGUGACCUGUCUCACAGUCCAAGCUGAGGCUGUCUGUCAGUGUCCUUAUGGGUCUCUGGUAACAAUGGGACGUGGUACCCUAGAACGCAGAUUGGUCAGCUCUAGAACUCAGUGAACUCAUGAACUUUUCCAGCCAUUUUGUUUUUUCCUUUCCAUCAACCUACUUCUAAGAAGAGGCUCAUGUUCUGUUCCAAGGGCACCAGCCUUCAAAUGGGCACUUGUCCAUUCCUGGCCUAGGACAAUCAUGUUGGAGAUCUCCCGUAGACACCAGACACUCCCUAUCGCUCCCGCUCUCCUGUUGGCUGAUCCCCUUAGUGCUUCUAGGGCACUUGAGGUCAUCUUAUGUCCAGAGGAGUGCUACUGUGGCAUGUCACUGAGCGGGACUGUCGGUACUCUCCUCAUCACCUUGGACAGACUUGACAAUAACUCCCUGUGUGUUAAGCACUGUGCAGCUCCCUCAGAGUAGAUUGUUAUCACUCCUCACAGCAGCCUCUGCUGGUGGGAAUUCAUGUACCCAUUUCACAGGUAAGUGUAGGAGAAAUGAAGUGACUUGCUGAUGGGUUAAAUAAUUUCUGUCUGCCUAAGCUGAAAAAACUCAAUCUCCUUCUCUCCCUGUUUAUAGAAAUCCCUGUGGCCAUUCAUUUACACCAGUGUUAUCAGAGAUUCCCAGGCCGUCAGUUCAAUGGUCUGAGCUGAAUGAGUACAGGAAUUAGUCAGUGUGAAAACAGAUUGCCACAGCUUUACAAGAAAGGCAGAGAAGCCAAAGUACAUUGGACAAAUUGGAAGUGAAAAGCUGAAGUAAAAAUAUUCAGUUUAAGACCAUGCGUUGGUACUGACAUGAGGUCUAUGGAAAAUGAGGGAGCCAGCAUCGAGUUUCUGGAAUAUGCAAUUUUACAAUGGGAACGUGUUAUAAAAUGUUCAGCCACUGUUGUUUGCCUUGGAAUUUAGGGUGAGAGACAUGAAGGCUGACAACUCUCUUCCUGUUGUAGGUCAGGGCUUCAAGGAACUCUGUAAUCUUCCCACCAGCUUUACUCUCUCCUGGAACUCAUGGGUAAAAUUAGAUGCUGGCUGGACUUCAGUAGUUGAAUUUGAAGGCUUUCAGAAGCCAAGUCAGACAACUGCAGCGGCUGCUCUCUCACAGUCCCACGUCGAGAGAUACUCCACAGACUGACACAGUUUAGUAAACCGAUAAGUGUCCUGACACUGCAUAAAAACAUUCCAUUACCCACAGGAGUGGAAGGAGGUUACCUUCCUAUGGGUAACCUCAGAAACGGGGGCAGACUUGGUAAUCUUUUACCAACAAACUGCAUUCACAUCUCUCUGUUGCUCCCCAAAUGUGAUCUGUAUACUAACCUAAAAAAACAGACACCCCAUGUGAAGAUUCCGUUGGAAUUGUUUUAUAUACAUUUGAAUGGACUCUGAGAGGCAGACAUGGUGAAACGGGUGUGGGAAGAGACCGUUGAGUGAGUGAGUGUGCUCUGCUCCCAAACUAGCAUCGAACACAUUUAUCUAAUUUGACACAUUUUGCCUGGAAGUCACAGGAAUAGACUGAGGACCCCACCCCCACUGCCCUUACCCCCGUCAGAAUAUAAAGAGCCAGAGACUAAAACCAGACUAAAAAGGGCUAACCCAUUAGGGAAGUACCUCCCUGGGGAGCGGGUGGGCAGGGGGAGGAGGUUAGAUGGCAAUUAUUAAACACUGAAUCAGGAAUCUGCUCUGAAAAGCUGCUGCCCCGGGAUGCCUUUCUUCCCAGACUGAGGACUGAGCUGGCCAGAAGCAGGAGCUCUGCUUAUUCUCCGCUGCAGGAUGCUACCCCUUGACCCUUUAUAAGGCAGCCUUGCUUGAUUACUCCUUUUAAUUCCAGGCUCAAAACAGCUUGUAAAAUUGUGUUGUUUUUUUUCUUUUUAUCAUUCCUCCCCCAGAUUGUGUGGGCCACACUGUAGCAAGAUUUCCCCUCUGUCCACAUCUGUUUUCCAACCUCAUUACUCUUCCGUUAUUACGUUCAUUAAAAAAAAAAAAAGCUGUUUAUUUCUUCUCUGCAUGUUUUUCCCCUGAGUUUCAAAACCUAAAAUGGUAACUGAUGUGCUAUUUGAUGUGACCAUCUUCAUGCUCUCUAGUCUCCAUGCUGAUCCUUGAAUACAUACACGGGAAUAGAUUGAACCUUGUUGUUUAAAUUAGCUUGCCUGAGUCAGGGCUUACAACUGGGCUGGAGCUUGUCAAGGCUUCUCCUUCUAAAAUCUGGGCACAGAGGUUCACGCUCAAUAACCCUCGCACCUGGGAGGCUGAGACAGGAGGAUCAGAACUGCUUGGGCUACAAAGAGAGUUCUAAGGCUAGCUUGAACUACAUGAGCACGUCCCUCAAACAAAACAACCAGCUUCUCAUUAUGUCUUCGAAUGUGUUUUUUCUGAGGCACCCAGAGAUGGCACACUACUGGUGUGUAGUCAGCUUGACUCCUCAGCGCUUCAGUUUGAGUGUAACCAUUCAAAGUUAGAAGACAGGAGGCAGAGCCUUAGUGUUCAGGGUGGACUUUGUUUUGGUUUUAUGAAGCAAGAGGUGUUUUUGUUUUUUAGGGGGGUUGUUUUGUCAGGCUUUCAAGACAUAGUUUCUCUCAACUGUUUGCCUCUGCCUCCUGAGUGCUAAUAUUAAAUGUGUGUGCCACCACCUAUCAUGUGAGGUUUCUUUUCUGAAGAGAAAUGAAAUGAAGGUGUCCAUUCAUACCAUUUCUAUGCAAGCCAUACAGUAAAUAUAUUGAGAAUAGGAGAUAAGAAAUGGGGAGAGACAAAGCCAGGCAUGGUUUGAAUCCCAGCCCUCAGGAAGCAGAAGCAGGCAGAUCUCUGUGAGUUUUGGGCCAGCCAUGGCUGCAAAGUGAGAGUCUCAAAAAGAAAACAAAAGACAAACAAAAUAAAUCAAAGGGCAAAGCUGAACUCAUCUUUCUGCCUUGGCCUUUCAAGAACUGGAAUGAAGUUCUUUCAAGGUGGGCACCGCCACACCAGGCGGCAGCUGGCCUAUAUGUAGCUCCUGCUUAGACCAUCCAGGAGAAUACAGACUGGGCGAGUAGCACAGCCGCUGAGCACAUGCAGCCUGGUCUCAGUCUGUCCCUAACAUGGCAGUGAUAAAUAAAAGGAUAAACCCAAUAGCAUAAUUCAACAGUUACUGCCGUUUUUCCACAGAACAGAUGAUAAUCCUAUAGUAAGGGACGAGACAAGACCCAGUUUGCAAGUGUAAUCAAAGCCAUAAGGAGAUUGUAGUCUCUGACUUGUUUGUAAUGCUGGGAAUGGAACCCGGGGCCUUGGGCAUGCUAGACAAAAGCCGUAAAAAGGCUUUCAGUUAGAAUUCUGGCCAGAAACCAGUAGCAAACACAAAAGUAUACUUCAGAGUGUUGCCAGACCUUAGUUAGUGGCCUAUGGAAACCAAGAGGUCUCACCACCCCUGGGCCUGAACUGCUGGGGGCAGUUAUCAGAAUUUAACAUAGUGAGAGCCACAGCCACGGCUGCUAACUUCCACACAGAGAUGAGGAGCCAGGGAAAGUUGCCUUAGCUGCUUUCUCCCUUGUCCUUCGUUCCCUCCCACUAACUUCCUGGAAAGGGCCCUGCUGAUGCUGCCCAGCCUCUCAGAGGAAGGAAAGAAAAGCAGCAGGUGGGCCUAGAAGAGCAGCAAGUGCAGCUUCACACAGUCUCUCCCUGGAACCUACUUAGAAAGCUGCAGGAGGCUGCUCUUGGUUACAAAGAAGUCAUAGCAGCAAUAUGCAGAAGCUUGACAUAGGAGAGGUCCACAGGUCAGUGCUGAAAGAUGCGCUGUCCGACUGCUGUCCGACACAUCGUGCUGAGACAAGACAAGAUGUUGUCUCCCUAGGAGAAUAUUAGGGCAACAAAUACUUAAAACUGAUGGCCAGGAAUUGACAAAGACACGGGAAGCACACCCCGUCAUUGAUACAAAGAUGACCAGAUGGCAUGGAUUCGAACCACAUAUUUCUCCAUUCGCACAGGGGAGAUAAGGGCAGAGUUUGCAUAAGGUUAUUAAGAAUGUUCAGUGAAUUAAGAUGCAUGGAGUACUUAGAGUAGUAGUUGCCAUUCUACCCCGCACGUAUAACCUGGAGAGAGUCUGCCCCGCACAUAUAAGCUGGAGAGAGAGUCUGCCCCGCACGUAUAAGCUGGAGAGAGAGCUGGUUCAGGUAUAAAGAAGAUCCUCCAAACUUGUUCAUCACAGGUAGACAAAGGUAGAUUAGACAUCGUGGUAUUUCCGUUGUACAGCAGGAAAUGAGUGAAUGGAGUGUGGGCUGAAGGUGUAUCUGUGUCGGUAGAGUACCUGUCUAGCAUACACAAGGCCAGGAGCUUGAUCCCCAGCAUGACAUAAAACCUGAUGUGUUGUCACUUGCCUGUAAUAGGACUCCAGAAGUAAUAGGAUCAGAAUUCAAGGUCAUCCUAGACUACAUGGUAAGUUCUAGGCUGUGACUGAAAGGAAAGAAAUCAAAACUCAAAAAUAAGGAAGGAAAUAGAUGAACUAGACCUUGUGUGUAGUAGAAUAAGCAAACCUUUAAAAUUUGUGAAAAAUAUCAAAACACUGCAGAAUAUUAAUAAUAGUCUAGUAGGAAGGCAGGGAAGGGGCACAGUUUUGUACUGUAUGUGUAAUACUUCAUUUCAUUUAAUUUUAGAAUAUUUUUAAAAAUAUGAGCCACAAAUAGAGAAAGCUAUGCAAUUAUUUAUGGUCAGGCCUUUGCAAUACAAAGGAAUUGUGUGUGUGUGUGUGUGUGUGUGUGUGUGUGUGUGUGUGUAUGUGUGUGUGUGUGUGUUUGUUGCCUUGAGGAUUCCUCUGGGACUGGAAUAAAAGAGGGCUAUGAACUGUCAUGUGGGUGCUGGGAGUUGAACCUGAGUCCUAGAAAACAGCCAGGGCUCUUAACCACUGAGCCAUCUCUCCAGCUCCUGAGAGAUAGGAGUGAUAGAGACUACCAUGUAAAGAGAGCGUGGUCUUUGAACAAAUAGGCAGCCCUCGAUGGAGCUCCACUCUUUAUUGGUGUGAUUGUGCAUUUGCUAGAUAGACUUACAAGGUGUUUAUACUUUUUGAUUGGUUAUUUUCUUUAUCUACAUUUCAAAUGUUAUCCCUUCCUGGUUUCCCCUCCACAAACCCCCAGCCCAUCCCCUCUUCCCCUGCUUCUAUGAGGGUGCUCCCCUGCCCACUGUCCCACCCACUCCCACCUCACCACGCUAGCAUAGCCCUACACUGGGACAUCAAGCCUCCACAGGACCAAGGGCUUCUCCUCCCAUUGAUGCCACAUAAGACCAUCCUCUGCUACCUAUGCAGCUGGAGCCAUGGGUCCCUCCAUGUAUACUCUUUGGUUUGGUGGUUUAGUCCCUGGGAACUCUUGGUGGCGGCGGGUGUGUGUGUGUGUGUGUGUCCGAUUGGUUGAUAUUGUCGUUCUUCCUAUGGGAUUGCAAACCCCUUCAGCUCCUUCAAUCCUUCCCCUUAUUCCUCCAUUGGGGUCCCUGUGCUCAGUCGGAUGGUUGGCUGGGAGCAUCCGCAUCUGUUGGUCAGCUGUACUUAAUUGUAGAUUUAUUCAUUGUUUUUUAUAAGUACAUAUGGGUCUGCAUGUGUGUGUGCCAUAGCAUGUGUAGAGGUCAGAGAGCAUCUUGUAGGAGUUGAUUCUCCUCUUCCACCUGUGGGCUCUAAUACUCAGGCUGUCAGGCUUGGCAGUAAGAACCUUUGCCCAGUGAGCCAUCUCAAUGGUUCAGGUCUCUGUUUCUUAAUAUUAGGUACCUCACUGGGACAUUUGAAGAUUAGCUGAGGUGAUGCAAAUCACCAAAGGAAACAGACACUUAGCAAUUGUUUCAUUCCUUUCCUCCUUGAACAUGGGAGUAGCAGGACCAGUCAACAUUUCCUUAAUGCAAUAGCAUGGAUGUCUGUGUGGCUGGAUGCAGGUUGACUUUAUGUGAGGAUUACUGAUCCAUGCCUAAAUUUAGUUCAGGUUCAUUUGAUAAAGAAAUGGAUUUCAGGGGCUCUGAAUGGAGGCCCAGUGAGUGAAAGGCUUCAGUUCCAAUCCCAGUGCCCAUGAAGGCAGCCAGUUGUGGCCAUUUGUAUGUGACCCUUAUAAGACAAAAGGAUGUCUGGGGCUGGCUAACCACAUCUCACUUCAGGUUCAUCAUUCCCUAGCAAGUUGUAUACUUCCCUGAUUUGGUUACAGUGUUGCUGGUGCCUCUGUGUGUAAAGUCUUAAGUAUCUAUGGUCUGUUCCUUCGUCCUCACAGAUCUCCAUUCUAAGCACUUGUAAACAUACACCUUCACUUGCUAACUUGUGCUUUUUCCUCUGUGAAGGCCAAGCCUGCAUCUUGUGGAAGCUUUCAGAGGCUCACUAAAGCAGUGUUUGAUUACUGUUUGUCCAUUAGUGAACAAAGAAGUGACCUGUGAGUGGGUAUUUGAAAAGAGUGGUCUCGUCCAUACUGACUUCUCAAACAGGGACGUUCUCCUGAGCAAUUUCAUUUGCACAAAGGGUUGGAGAAUUAGUUUCCAGGGGAAAGUGUGAGAAGCGCCCUGGGCCUGAAUGAUUUAACAUUACACCUAGGACGGCAUCCGAGAAGCAGUAUCUAAGGGAGGAGAGAUGAAACAGGAAGCUUAGGAAAAUGUCCUGUCCACGUCCCUGGGGCUUACCCAGCCGACCUCACAUGCAGAUGCUGUCCUUUGGCUGCUACAGGGAGGUAACUCAGUGCCAUUGCACCUUCUGCUGUGCAGCCCAUCCGUGCCGUGUUAGAAAUUUUCGGUAAUCUAAGCCUAUUUAGUCUGUUUUCUCCCACUCUGUAAACACCCUUUUUCCAUAGUUGCAAAUGUCUCCACUAUUAUUUGUUUCAAUUUGUAAAUUGCGAGAAGGGCCAGAAUAAACAAUGUUCUCACACGCACACUCCUGCACAGCUAAAAUGACCUGCCAGAGACUCGCAAGGGGCUCCAACCCUCUGUGCCUUCUUUAUAGAGCCAGAAUUAACAAAAGCAGGGGCCUUGCCUUCUUGUCCCCUUUCAACAAAGGCAGGAAGACUGAUUUUUCCAUUGCCACAGUGGGUGGUGAUGCCAAGGAAAUAAACAGUGAUUGUCUGACCACAGACAGACAUGUCCAGACCCCACCAGCUGCAGUGACCAUGGCUUCUGUACCACAGUUCCUGCAUUGACUACAGUUGAUGGGAAAGCAAGUGACUUACUGAAUGGCAUGUCACUGAAAGGCAUGAUCAUUGUCAGGAAGCAUGAGAUGACCGUAGGCUUACAGUUGGAUUAGAACUCAAGGGAAGGUGGCAAGGAAGUGAUACAUGGAAUUUUCCAGAACAAAAUUGAGAAGGAUUAUGCAAGAAAGAGAUAGUUGACCUGAAACCUGACCAUAGGAUGAAAGACUCUGCUCUCUGCUGGUUCUCCUUCUCUGUGUGGGAGACCCUGUCCUACAUAGGCAUGCCUGUGCUUAAAGCUAGUUGGAAGUCCACACCCGACUCCCACCAAGCCAAAAUGUAGGCCAUGGAGCUCUUGAAUACUUAAUGUCAUGGCCUAUAUUUUGUGCCUUGUAGACGUCACUCAGGCUUUGGUGUGUUGUCACUGGCUACAGAUUCAAUGUCUUCAGUUAUAUUUAACCUUGCAUUCCUUUUAUACCUCAACCUCCUUCCACCCUUGGCUAUUUUGUAUUUGUAAUUCGUUCAUUCAUCCAUUCAUUCAUUCAUCCAUCCAUUCAUUCAUCCAUCCAUUCAUUCAUCCAUUCAUUCAUCCAUUCAUCCAUUCAUUCAUUCAUCCACUCAUUCAUUCUUCAUUCUCUUAUAAGCUGAAGAUUCUCUUAGCUGCCCAAGCAUGAGGACUUGAGUUCAGGUCCCCAGCGCCCACGUAAGAAGCUGCAGGUGGCAGUGCACACCUGUGGUCCCAAUGCUGAGAUGGAAUGGCAGGGAACUUCCAGCAGCUCGUUUGCUGGCCAGUGAGAAGCCCUCUCUCUAAAGACAAAGUGUAGGGCACAGAAGACUCUCAUCAAUUUUCUGCCCAUCUGAACCUAACUCCCCAUUACCCCCGCCCCACUCCCUCAGUCCUAGCAUUCACAGUCUGCUUCAUAAUUCUUUGGAUGUAACUAGAUCCCAUAUAGAAGUGGAAUCAAAAUGCUGGCUUUUUGUGACUGGCUUAGUUCACUUUGUAUAGCGUCCUUUGGGUUCAUUCAUUCCUGCUAUACUUCUUGGCAGGGUUUCCCUCUCGGGGUGACUAGUACUUCACAGUGUGCCUAUCACUUAGGCACUAGGUGGGUUCUGUAUCUUGGCUACAGUGAGUAGCACCACUGUGUGUGAGUGUGCAGUUUCCCUCUGAAAUUCCAUUUCAGUUCUUUCAGCUAUUUGCCCAGUAGUAGGCUUGCACUGGAUUAUAUGGUAGCCCUAUGGUUUUGAUGCUGUUUUCCAUAGGACCUGCCCUGGAAGUAUUUUCCAUUCUUAACAACAGCCCAUAAGGGUUUCACUUUCUCUAAUAUGCACGAGUACUUUCUGAUUCCUGGGUUUUGCUUGUUUAUAUUUUGAUAUUGGUGGGAAAUGGUACAUCUUUGUGGUUUUAACUUGUAUUUCCCUGAUAAUUAGUAUUUAGUGUCUUUUUAUAUUCCCAUUGCCCAUUUAUUUAUAUUCUUCAUGUAAAUAUCUUUUUGAGUCUCUCAGACUGAAUCUCAUGUAGUCCAGGCUGACCUCAAACUUGCUGUGUAAUGAGGUUCCUGGCCUUAAGUUCUGGACCCUCCCGCCUCCGUUUCCCCAGUGCUGGGAUUGCAGAUGCUCACCCAUGCUCACCCAUGCUCACCCAUGCUCACCCAUGCUCACCCACACCAGCCCACUGGAAUCCCUUGCUUUUUCAUAGUUAUUUGGAAGUGGGUUGUGCUGAUCAAUGGUCAGUACUACUAGAUUCUGUACCCUGAGCUCGUCAUUGUCCUUGGAGCUUGAAGUGUUUCCUCACACCCCACGGGGGGUUCACUCCUCAGCUGCAUGGCUUUUGAAUGUCAUGUGACCCAUUUUCUAUUUUUCUCUAGUUAGCCAUGCUUUUGAUGUCAUAUUUCAGAAGACAUCAGAGAUCCUAUAAUAGAAAGCUUCUCUUCUGGGAAGUUUCUAGUCAGUCUAUGUUUCAAAUUUACUAUCUACCUUUCAUCCAUUUUAGGAUGGUUUUUGCCCAUGGUGUAGGGAAAGCCUCAAAUGUACCCAAACUGUUGGUGAAAGAGAUCCUCUUCAGACUGGUUUUUAAAAGAAAACUAAAAUAUCUUUCUUUUUUCUGUAGUAAAUUACUGUAAAUGUCCUGCUUUAUACAGAGACAGUUGAUGAAUGUGUGGCCAAAAAUGAAAUGUCUUUUUGGGCAACUGGAAGCACUAGGCUAUUGUGUCAACCGUGUAAGCUGCUCGUUGUUUUUGCUACUAGUUAUGCCUAGAGCACUGUACAUCAGCAUUUGGGACGCUCCUGUUAGAGUGAAAACCAUGUCUGUCUCUGCAGACAGGAUGCAUUCUGACAGAACCUUCAGUCGUGUAAUAGUAUCUCUUGUUCUCUGUGGCUUCUCUUAAGAUUUGUCUCUAAUCUGUUAUUUCUCAUUCUGCCGGCAUGCCGUGGCACUGUCUUAUUUAUGUGUUGAUAAAUAACAUAACUUUUUCAACUUGUUGAAUUUGUUUUUGAGUAUAAUUUUCAUCGAGUUUUACAUUCGUAUGGCUAUUUUUUUCAAAUAUUGUUCGUACUUAACACUUUUCCAAAGAAUCCAGUUUCAUGGCUCAGGCUGCUGGCACCAUCUCUGGGACUGCCAUUCCUCCUGCCUGUCUGCAUUUGUUGGUGGGCUGGUCUCCGUCUCUGUGAUUCUCUUGGCUUGUGUCUGUUACAGUGCUUUAUGUCUGUAGGUUGCUACCGUGCUUAGUCAGUUAUUGACUCGGCAGUGAACCCUUCAUGUUAAGGCUUUAUAGCUCCUAUGUAUCUUCACUGUGCUCUUGUAAACAAACAUCUGAACAUGUGUGAAAUACUAUUAGAACCUCAUAUCAUGGGAAUUCUAUAGCAGACAUUAUAUAUAAUGAAGAAAUUUUGAAGAAUUUAAAUGAGGAAAAUUUGAAUAGUUUCUCUAUAGUCAAGAAAUAAUAUUCAUCAUCACUCCUUCCUCCCUCCCUUCCUCCCUCCCUUCUUUCCUUCCUUGUUUCCUUCCUUCCUUCCUCCCUCCCUCCCUCCCUCCGUCCCUUCCUUCCUUGUGUCCUUCCUUCCUUCUUUUGUUUCUUUUUUGAGAUAGAGUUUCUGUGUGUAGCCCUGGCUGGCAGGAACUUGCUCUGUAGACCAGGCUGGCCUGAAACUCUGAGAUACCUGCCUCUGCCUCCCGAGUGCUCAGAUGAAAGGUGUGAGCCACAGCUGCUGGGCUACCACUUUUUUAUACUUUUUCAUAGUUAUUUGGGAGUGGGUUGUGCUGAUCAGUGGUCAGAUUUAUUCUUAUGGGUAUGGGUAUUUUUCCUGCACAUAUGUGUGUGCCCUAUGUGAGUGCCUGGUGCCCACAGAGGCCGGAAGAGAGUAUUGGGUACCCUGGAACUAGACUUACUUAUAGACCAUUGUGAGCUGUCAUGGGAGUGCUAGAAAUGAAACCCCUGGUCCUCUGGAAGAGCAGCCAGUGCUCUUAACAACUAAGCCACCUCUUCAGCCUCCCCAUCUCACCUGUCAUGUGCUGGAUGUUCUAACAGUACAGGGAGACAAAGGCAUUACACCUGGCAGAGAGGAAGUGAAGCUGUUUUUAUACAUGGAUAACACUUUACCUAAACAGACGAUCUUACGGAACAUAUACUUAAAAGUUAUUAUAACUAAUAAAACGUAUCAAGGGUAUCUAUAUGAUAUCAGUCAUCUGAAAUAGAAAUUUAAAAGCAGUUCCAUUUCUGAUAGCAUAUAUAACUGGGGACUUUAAGUAUAAAGAACAAAAAAUUCAUCACAGAUAUUACACCUAUGCAUAAUAUAUGUGUACAGACAAAAUGCUCAAACACAUAAAAUAAAAAUAAAACUCAAAAAAGAACAAUCUGUGAAGUUCUCAAAACUUACCAGCAGGUGUGUUCCCACCCCUGAUUUUAUUUUGAAUGGAACCUUCAGGAGGUUGUCCAGUCAGGCCUCAAGCUCAGACCUUCUUUAGCAUCCGCUUCUUGAGUGGCUGGAAUUACAGGUGUGCACCAUCACACUCCACUAGGAAUGAGGCUCUCACACAAGCCACUGCAUGGAUGAACUUUGUAAACACCUGUGUCUCCUCCUCCUCCUCCUCCUCCUCCUCCUCCUCCUCCUCCUCCUCCUCCUCCUCCUCCUCUUCCUCCUCCUCCUCCUCCUCCUCCUCAUCAUCAUCAUCAUCAUAUUAUUAUUAUUAUCAUUACUAUUAUUAUUAUCAUUAUUAUUAAUUAUUAUUAUCAUCAUUAUUAUUACUAUUAUCAUUAUUAUCAUUAUUUGAUCACAGAGGGCUCUGUGUUACUCAGUUCCAUCUUCAUGAGACAUACCAGAUGCGAAGUUGAUAGAGAAACAAAGGAUGAGAGAUCGGUCGUUGCCCCCAGCUGGGGGAACAGGGAGGGAGGAAGUGCCAGUGGAGGAGUAUGGCGCUCCUUAGGGAAUGUUCAGAGGUAGAUUACAAUAAUGUUUGUUCAAUUCUAAAAAUGCUCGAACACCAUUGAAUUAUAUCUUUUAAAUCGGUGGUUCUCAAGUUUCUCAAUGCCGCAGCUCUUUAAUGCAGCUCCUCAUGCUGUGGUCACCCCAACCAUUUUGUUGCUACUUCACAACUGUAAUCUUGCUGCCGUUGUGGAUUGUAGUGUAAAUAUCUGAUGUGCAAGAUAUCUGAUGUACAAACCCAAAAGAGUUGUGUCUCACCAGUUGAGAACUGCUACUUUAAAUAGAUUAACUGUGUAAUAGAUAAGGUAUGUCUUAGGAAGUCUGGAGUCUAAGGUAGCACACCUGGGGAGUCUGGGGGGAGGGGUUUUAAGGUUGCGUAAUAAAAGCUAUUGCUAUCUUCUUCCCUGAUGCUUUGUGUGUGUGGAUGUGAAUGUGUAAGGAGUUCUGACUCCUUUUAGUUGGCUUCUUUCUGAAGAUGCUUCUGCACAGCCUUGGCAACUGAGACAUGCACAAAUGGCUUCGUGUUUUGCAGCAUCUCUCCCAGGAGGAGCUUUAGCAGAGGUUAUUCUUAGGAACAGCUGUUUCUAAUUGUGGUGUGGCCUGUAUCUGUUUAUUAGUGCCCAUCACUGCCACCAGGAUGAGCAUGCAUUAUGUUCAGUCCUAAUCCUGGAGCACACAGCCUUGUUCAGUCUGUCCUGGUGUAGACCACAAGCCAUGCUUAAAGCCAUCAGGCCUCCAUGGUGAGGUGGCACUGGUCCCUUCUGCUUGAGUUUUGAAGAAGAAAAAAAGAACCAGGCAGGUCACCACAAGCCAAGUUGGGCUUGGCUGUUCCAGCUUCCUGGCUGGCUGUGGCAGGGCAAGACCACUAAGCCUCCUUUGGCUCAAGUCCUCCCUCUGUCUCCCUCCCCACACUCACUCUUUAUUUAGUGUGGCUGUAGCGCUUGAGUACUUCACUUUAGUGAAAUGUUCAUCUCUGGUAAUUCACUCUCCACUGUCAGCAGAACUCAAGAAACACUCUGGCUUAACAAAGAGUAAGCUGUGAGGGACCUCAGAACCCUUUCAGUCCAAACCCUUGGUGCAAACCUCUUUGCACGUCAGAUUUACCCAGCACAUUAAGGGAAAACUGAGCUUGGUGCUGUUAAUUCUGGCUCUGUCUUCUGCCGCUUUGCCUCCCCACCACUGAGUGAAUAAGCAGCGCUCAUGCACUGUAUCUUAAUAGACCUCUUGAGGAUCAGAUCCUGUGCCUUGCACAUGCUAAGCACCUACCACCUCGAGAAAAGGUACACACUCUCUUAAGAAGCAGAAUUUGGGACUGGGGAUUUGGUGGAGUGCUUGCCUUGUUCACAUAAAGUACUAAACUGAGUGCCUAGCACCACAUAAAAGCAUGUGUGGGUUGGCACAGGCUUGGAAUUCUAGCACUUGGAAUGUGGAGACAAGAGGGUCAGGAGGUUUUGAUUGUCUUGGGUACAUAGUGAGUUCAAGACUGCCCUGGGCUACAUGAGACCUCAUCUAAAAGUGGACAUGUGCCAGCCACUUGCAAGUGUCCCUGAAAGUACGGAUAGGAGUAGUGCCCCUCAUAGGCAGUUAUGUUCCUUGUGCCCCGGCUAUUUGGGUACCAUUGACUGUUACCAGGGAGUGACCAGAUUUGUCUCUGGAAGGGAGCAUGAGGUUUUAGUCUGAUGUUGUACAUGCUCAAGUCACAGCUCUGCCACUUAGAGAUUUUCUGUCUUGCCAGGUCUUUGUGACAGGAAGGGAUGCUGGUGCUUUGAAAACCAGUGGUUUAUGGUUUGAUGAACCGAUGGCUAUACAAGCUUCUUGUUGCUUGAAAUGAAAGGCUUGUUCACAUGGAGACGUACGUGUGUGUGUGUGUGUGUGUGUGUGUGUGUGUGUGUGUGUGUGUGUGUGUUUGCAAACGCAUGUGUGCGUGCAUGCCUGCGUGUGCACCCAGCAAGAGAGGGGUCCCUCCAAGUACAGAUGAAUUCUUAAAUGGACAGUGCCAGAGCAAAUGGGCCUACCAGACUCAUUCCUGUGGGCAUCAAAGACGGAGCUGAAGUUUUUCUGAGGGUAUUCCCAACUCAUUGGCUUAUUUGAUUCCAAUGUUUUCUCAGCUUUUAAAAUAUUAAAGACCAAGUAGCAAAAAAGAGAAAAUAGACAUAUGAUAGUGUAGAGUAAAAAAAUCAUCAACCCACCUCUCCAGUCCCCCCCUAUAUUUAAUCACUGUUACAUUUUUACAUUAAAAGGACAUCCAUAUAUAUAUAUAUAUAUAUAUAUAUAUAUAUAUAUAUAUAUGUAUAUAUCCUCGCUUUACUUUGUUUUUGUUUGUUUUUUUGAGACCAAGAGUCUCACACUCAGGCUGAUCUGGCACUCACUCUAUAGUCCAGACUAGCCUCAAACCCUUGGUGAUCCUCUUACCUCAGUUCCCUGAAUGUUGGGAGUAUUGACUUGAACCACCCACCAUGCCUUGGGAACACCAUAUCAGAGGGGGGGGAGGGGGAGGGAGAGGGAGAGUGUAAGAUUUUUCUUAUUUUUAAAGAUACCGUCAUUUUUCAAGAUUCACUUAGUAGCACAUCUUGUUGAAUACACAAAGUGCUCAGUUUUUUGUUUUUAUAAUAGUGCUAAAUGGGUGUCAUUAUACCCACAGCUUGUCAAAUGCAUCAUUCUUUAAGUCUGAGUAUUUGUGUUAUUCAUAACACAUUUGUAAACAGCCAGGCACUUCUAUAGUUCUUAGCAACAGAAUCCACAAGGCAUAAGGUAUGUGACCACAACAUGGUUUCUGUAAUUUCACGUAACAUCAGUUUCCCAUCAGAUACUAGAUAUUAGCUGCAUUAAUUUAUACUCCUCUGACCAGUAGGCUGUGGUGCUUUUAAUCACUGAGCUAUCCCUCUAGCCCCUGCCUAUUUUUUUGUGGGUUUAUUGGUCUUAAAUUGAUUUGAAGGAAUUCUCUUCAGAUUGGCUUUACUCUACAUAAUUACAUUCACUCUAGUUGGUCACUAUCCUUGAGCACAUUUCUAAGAUUUUUGCCACAGAACAUUUUAAAUUUUCAGUAACUUUAACAGUUUCUGGGACUGCCUCACAUUUGGAAUGACUUUCUCCAGUUCUCUGCUGUUGAAAAAUUGCUUUCCUGUGCACUUCUCCUUCCCUCUUCCUUUGUAUGUGAACCUUGCACAUGUAGUGGAGAGUCAAAGACUCCUUUCUGACAGCCAGCCUCUCUCCAACUCAGGCUAGGGAAAGAAACAUUAAAUUGAAUUUCAAAGUCUUCACUGAUGAAACACACACACACACACACACACACACACACACACACACACACACACACACACACCAAGCUCUGCCUCUUCAAUUUCUGAACAUAGCAUAUAAGAUCCCACAAGUUGGUAUCUGAGAAUGUGCUUUUAAUGUCUAGUGCGUAACUUGGAACCAUUUUUUAGUGAACACAUUCACACAUGAUUUUGUUAUUUUUUGCCAUAAUUGAUCUCAGGUUUGAGGUAAAAUCUGUCUCUAGAAAAAAACAAAUCCGUUCAAAUGUUGGCUCUCUCUGUUGUUUUCAUAGAACUCCUUUAUCAAUAAGAGGGUUUCCUGAGCCUUGGGUGGGAGCUGAAGAAUGAGGAGCAAAUGAGCCCAGAGAGACUUUCCCUGAGAGCUGACCCUUCUUCAGAGUUGGACAAAGUCAGGAAAAGUGGGCGGGCCAUUUGGAAACUAUUCAGGAUCAGAGAGCCCAGUUUGUUUUUAUUUUGCUGUAAGAGUUCAAAGGCAGAAUCUUGGGAAGUUGGUCACUCUGAGAUGGGACUUCCUGUGUCAAGGAGGGAACAUUCUACAGCUUGACUUGUGGGGAUUUCAAAGAUGGCUUGAACACCCAAGCUAAACACUGCAUUUGGUUUGGCCCUUAUAGAUAAAUAUCAGAAUGCAAGGAUGGGUAUGGUGUGAUAUACCCAGGAUUCAGCACUUCUAAGGCUGAGGCAGAAAGAUCACAAGCCAACCUGAGCUACAUGGGAAGACCCUGUUUCAAGAAAGAAAAAUAUAAACUAAUUAACUAGAGAAGGAGGCAGUCAUAACACAGGAGAUCAGGGACCGGCCCCUUUACAAGUCUUUCAGCUCUCACUUGGGGAGCAUUAUUCAUAUCCAUUGAUCAUUCAGAUCAAUGAGUUGUUCAUUACAUCAUGUCUUUAUCUGCCAAAAAUGUGCAUUUUAAGCAUUUGACUGAGUUAAACAAUUGCCUUCCACACUCCCUUCUUUAUUAGGGUCUCCAACCCUGAUUAGCCUCAGACUCACUAUGCAGCUAAGCAUAACCUUGAAUUUUUGAUCCACCUACCUCCAACUUGAAAGACCUGGUAUUAAGACCAGUGUCACCAUGCCCAGCUGGAUGUGUCAUGAGUGAUUGGACAUGUAGUCUGCCAACCAGACUACACCCAAGUGUCUGUGUGGAAACAAUACUGCAGUGUGAGAAUUAUUUUGGUGCACUCUGCUCUGUUGUGUAUUAGGAUCCCUUGGGCAACCAGGACAUUCGAUGGUUUCCUAUUUCCUUAACAGAGUUUACUGUUCCAUUUACACCUUAAUACAACUGAGAUAAUUCAUCCUGGAAAAGUAUUAUUAAGACCAAAGUCUCAGUUUCCAAUAAUUCAUCCGCCAAACACUUCACCCACCCUAUGCUAGGCACACUGUAGCUGUACUUCAGACACACCAGAAGAGGGCAUCAGAUCCCAUUACAGAUGGUUGUGAGCUGCCAUGUGGUUGCUGGGAUUUGAACUCAGGACCUCUGGAAGAGCAGCAGUCAGUGCUCUUAACCACUGAGCCAUCUCUCCAGCCUGCUAGGACUUUUCAGUGAUUUAUUUUCACAGUCCCACUGUUCCUCCUUGGGAGGUGAUGGCGUGAGUAAGGGAUAGCCGGAUGAAUUUAGAGGACACCUGUGUUCAGAUGUUGUCUCAGAAGUAAGAAGUCAGUGUGGUUUCCCGCAGCUUUAACUGGGAUCCUCAUGGAGUGCUGCCACUCCCCUUUGAGCUCUGCAGUUACAGUGCCAGCCAGAGCUGCACUUUCCUGUUCAGGCUUCCCUCUCACAGGCUCUUCACAGCCUGUCGUGUUCACUUGCCCCCAAGGCCAUGGUGAUGGUUGCAGCCUUAAGAGAAUAGUCCAUCUGUCUGGGACUCAGUCCCCAGGGAGGAACUCUGCCUGGCCAGGCCUCACAGGGACCCAGAGCCUGUUCUGAGGAAAGCAGGAACUUUCCUAGUCCUGAGUUCUUUGCUAAAUGGAGUGUGAGAAGUUUUAAAGCAGUUGUCACCAAGCCCUCUGCAGGCUAUGGGACUUCCUGUUCCCAAAGCUCUGCUACCCUGAGUUCCUGUCUCCAUUGAUGUGCUGUGGACCUGUAGCUGGCACUGACUUCAGGGCACCUUCUGCCACCUCCUGAUCCAAACCAAUUGUCCUGGUUCACAGGGAAAUGGAUGUUAGUUAGCACUGAUCGAGCCAGUUAGGCUCCUUGAUUCGCCUACCCUCCUAGCAAAUGCUAAAACCUAAAAUGCAGAAGAGGUAGCAGAAACAGAUGUUACUGUUCAGUGCAAGCCAGAGGUGCACAUGACAGGACAGUGACACCUUCUCACACUGGGAGACCCUUGUCUCCCCAGGUGUGUUCAGCAGGUAUCAAUUAAGCUUCCUUGACCCUGAAGUAAAGCCCUGAAAACUUGGUUCACUUACUCAUGAACUCUAGACCAGACUGAGGGAUCACGCAGGGAAAAUGUUUACUUCUCUAAUUAAGCAGAAUUAAGGUCUGAGCUUGGAACUGUCUUGGGCUAUGCUAGGUAUAAUUGAGAUGCAUGGGCUUUGUGUAAAUAAUGUAUCUCUAAUUGGCUUUGAUUAAGUGCAAAUUAGGAUCACACUUCACUCCUGUGUGAUUUACAUUCCUAAGCCCUUUUACAAACUGAAGUACCCUGGGUGGCCGAUAAGGUUUGUUUAUCCGGGAGUUGAGGCUAGAGCUGGGAUCUGCAGUUUCCCAAAGGUAGAGAGAGUCUGGAGCUGACACUCUUGACAUGUCCCUUCCUACUUCUGGUCUCACCUCUGACUGAGCUCAGCUGGUGGGGGGCUUACCCAGCAAUGAGUAAAGCCCUGGGUUCUGUCCUCAGCACCACAUAGACUAAAGCCCAGUAUGGUACAGCAUGCCUGUACGGCAUCAGGAAGUUCAUGGUCAUCCUCAUCUAGGCAGUGAGUCCAAGGCCAGCCUGUGCUACCUGAGGCCCUGUCUGAAAAAAAUUAAAAUGAGUAAGUAAAUAAAUAAUCGGAUCAUUGGCAUAUUGGAGUCUGCCUUGUGAGAGCUUGGAAACUAAGCCAACACCAGGCACUGGCCGUCAGACACCUUCUUUUCGUGAAAAACCAGAAACAUUUUAUAAAGGCAAACAACUGGUGGGAAGAUCUCCCCCAGGAAAGUUCCCAGUGGGUGGUGUAAAUCAACAGAUUGCUCAGACCAGCUUCCUACAGGAUGGCUUUGCACAAACUCGAGGGUCUUUGUGUUGGCCAGCCGGGAAUGCAAUACAUUUCAUCUAAUCCCCAAGGUCUCUGAAUUUGCGAUCAAAGUAGCAGUGGCUGCUUUUGUAUUGGUGCGGGCUUUUUCUGUCCAGGGGAAGAUUGGUCCCAUGAAAGGCCUGGGAAGUAGGAGCAGGUUUGGACUUGGUGUUUAUGACCCUGGAGGCCUUUCACAAUUAGCUCUGGGUGGGGUUUCUCCAGGUUUGUCUUGCACAUUAGCAUGCUACUGCUUGGUGUGGGCCCAGAAACCCAGCAUGGCAUAGGGAUUUUCACACCAGGCAAGAGUGCUAACAGUUGCCAGCCCCGGUGGGAAUGCUGUUAGCAGGGCGGGUUAACUACUCAGUUCACACCCUAUGAAAGUGGCGCCCAGAGCAGCCUUGAGUGUGUCACCUUCAGAGGACGUUCAACCAUAAAUAUGUUGGGUCUCUAAACUCUGCCCUGGGCUUGGAGUGAGAAGGCAGAUCCUGUUUAGGCAAGUUACACUGCAGAGAUCCUGGCCAGAGCUGGUAACGGCAAGAAGACGGGGAAUGUUUUCCAGGCGCUCCAAGCUCCGUCAUUUCUUUCUCAUUCAGGGGCUGCUCCUGAGCUACCUACUGAGCCAUCACCUAGGGAUAUGGCUAGGCAUGCGCUCUGAUGAGUGUGGUGCAUGGUGGAGGUUGGGAGCUUGUCAUACUGCUGCUGUCAUACUGCACAGGUUCAAAGCAGUUCAGAGGCGGCCUCAGGACCAGAAGAGUGCUGUUGCUAGUCCUUGAGUGGGUCCAUCUUGUCUCUGAAAUGUCAUAAAACUCUAUCUUAGCAUCUAUUUCAUGUGCAGAUAUGUUGGAUAAUGUUCUUAGCACUUUCAUUUUUUCUCGCUCAUGACUUAUGUCAGUGUAGUUCUUAUUCCUGUUUCAAGGGGUCCGAUGAGGUCAGAGCUAGUGAGUAACUCCCCAGUGAUCUCACUGGUGGAUGUGAGGAGCAGGAGCUUCAACUCAGUUCUUACAGCUGCACCUGGGAAUCACUGCCCUUUCACGGAGGAAACCAUGAGACUGAAAUCCCAGGCCCUGGCCAUGCUUCUUGAGCAAGUCACUCCCGGCCUCUGCCUGGACUCCCUCCUCAGAUGAGGCCUGGCCUGGGCUGUGAGGCCUUUCACCGCUUGCCCUUGCUGCUGUUUUGUGACCUCAGCCUGCCCUCUGCCCGUCCUAAAGUGUGCAAUGCUGAUCUUUGUUAGCCUUCUUGACCUGCGUACUUGAUUCCAGAAAGCCUCUUUAAAAGGACUCAGUGUCUUUUCUUGUCAGAAAUAGACUAAGCAGUGAGGCCCUAAGUUUCCAAGUUCAAGAGCAUUGUCCCAGGGCCAUCUCUGCCACAGACUGCCCUAGCCUCAGGCCAGCCUGCACCUCCUCCUUCAAAUCCUGGGUCUUCCUGGCACAGGUGGCCCUCUCAUCUUUCAAGGGAUGCUGUUCAUUGAGUCCAAGACCUCACUGACAUAAGUUUGUCUCUCCUGGUGGUUUAGGAGGUGUGAGUCUUCAUCUAACUGGAAAGACACUCCAUGCACACCAGCUAGCCAGUGUUAUGGAGCAGGACCCCAUGAGGGGAGGAGGGCAGGAGAAGAUGCCAGGUUCACAGCAGUCACAACAUAGGAGCAACCCUUCGAUCAUCAUAUGCUACCCUGAUGGUUUUAAUGCAGAGCUCUUAGAGGGGACCACAUACAGAUGCCAGUCUUCAAUAGGCCUUGUGCUUGCUGGAGGUUUGGUGGUGCCUUGGUAUUAAAGGUCCUGGCCCAGAAGAUUAGGAUCUUGAAGGAUAUGGGUGAGGGGGAGAAAGAAACACACUCAUGGUAUUUAUCAACCAACAAAGCGUUUACAUUCCCCACUCUCCACUUCCUAGCAUCUCUCCUGCUUAGAAGAACCAACAGACCACACAGGACAAGCUUGCCGUCUUUCCCAGCCCUUAGUCCGUCCAAAUGGUGGGACAAGUUGUCUCUGACUGUCCGUGUUCUCUGGCCCCUCUAAUGUCAUUGCAACUUUAACUUUGACCUUGAGUUAUAUUUCUAAAUGUUGUGGAGGAGAGGAUGUGUCUCCAUGCCUCAGCUGGCUCCUUGAGAUUGUGGGGUGGUCAUGCCGAGCCGAGCCGGCUCAUUCCGACUGGCGUUUCUGAUCAUCCCCAGCCCCCAUUUGAUUCUGAGCUUCCCUUCUGCUCUUUGUUUGUAACUUCUCAACCUCCAGCGUGGAUGUUUACCUCUCUGUGCAUUACUGCAACACGAAACCGCUCUGUCUUCUGAAAGCAAAUAAACUGGCUUUAAUGGGUGUUCAGCUCCAGCGGCAGCUCCAGGGUUAAAAGUUUUAGCAGGCAGACUGGCCAGCAGGAGUUAGUGGUGUGGAGUACAAGGGACGCCAGGCUGUCUCUAAACUUUUUGGCCCUCCCCAAGUACAGAGAUGAAGGAAGAGCCUCUAUAAAUCACUGGAGAUUAGAGGCCCUGUUCUUGCGGACUCUGCAGGGUUGCACUGCUUAAUGUCAAAGCCUCACGUAUUACUUUAACAGCACUCCUUUCUUUAUUAAAUCCACUUUGAAAUAUAUAUAUAUAUAUAAAAGAUGAUCUUUCCAGUAAGGGGGAGAAGGCUAAAAGGAUUUAGAAAGUAUCUGUUAUGUUACAUUACGGAGACUAAUAACUGUUUAGGGAAUAAGUAACAUUUUUGCACCAUCUUAAGCCAUAAAAGAGAGAGCAAGAGAGAAGUAUAAAGGUCCGUUCCUUAGAAUCAACUUGUUUGAAAGUUUAUGUCACCCUGUGUCCUUGCCUUCUAGCUUCUUCAAAGAGUGAGCUGGAGCACUGGGAAAAUGGCGUGAACAUUAGUGAGAGCAAAGAGUGUGUCUGGGAAUACGCUUUUGUGGCUAAAUGUUUUAGAAAGUAGGAAGGGCGAGGAGAGGAGAAGAGGGGAUUCGGGAGGGAGUACAGUCAGGGAAAGACUUCUACUUUUGUACUUAAAAGAAAAAAUGCAGACUGUGUUGGUUUGAGGCUAGGCUUAUCUCCUUCAUCUGACUUUAAUGAAGACAUAUUUCAAGCAGCUGCAACCAUGUCAAAUGUCAUAUUUUGGCUCAAAACUUCCACCUUCCAAGUGGGAGGUUUCUCGAGACCUAGAAGUCCAUGGUAAUUAUAAACUAAUUGGCUAGCACUAGCAGCAAUCUGAUCGUCACAGAGUUGAAGUCCGAACUAGUUUCCGUAGGUGAAAUCAGAGUGAGGAGAGCUGCUAAUUUGUAAAGCUGGUGCCAAGUGCACGGCCGUCAUUACACCAGUCUCUCUGCCACAGAUUUGUUAAAAUGUCAUAACAGAAAAACAUAGCAGUUCGAGUAAAAUACUUAGCAUCAAAUGCAAAAACAAACUUAAUAUGAACUAAUACCUUAAAUCACCAAUUAUAGCAUUUUAAUUUAUUCUUUCAGAGAAGUCUUAGGAUGAACAAAAGCCACACAAAGAAUUUGGUUGCCUCUAAUUUUCCUCUACUAUUACUUAAAGUCUAAAGGUUCUUUGUAUUUUUUCUCUUUCAGUCAAGUGACAAUUACUUAAGCAGAAUUAUUUCAAAAGGGUACAAUUCCUCAUUAAAAGACUUAAGAAUCUAAGGAACAAAAAAACAUGUUCAAGGGAUUUUGUUAGCUUGCCUGUUUUAGCCAAGAGCAUCUUGUUUUUAAAAUUUCUUUUGUUUAUUCAACAAACGUUUGACUAACAACUACUAUGCCAGCAGACCCUUCGCUAGCUGCCAGCGAUAAGAUAGCCGGCAGCCAGAGCUCCCGCUGUGUGAGCGGCUUGCAAGCUGCAGCAGGCCGGUAAAAAUAUAAAUCAGACUGGUUGUGGUGAUCCAUGCCUGUAAACUCAGGAGCCUGAGCUUGGAGACCAAGUUCAAGAUCAGCCUGGGCUACAUAGGAAAAUUCUGUUCCAAAGGUGAGAAAAAUCAAAUGUACAUUAAAUGUCAAGUCGUAGUGAAGCUUUAAAAAUAAGAGUCAGUAAAGUUUCUUUUAUGAAUGUGAGUAAUAAAAAAAAAUAAGGGUCAGUUUUAAACAUUGGUGUACUCAAUUAAAGGAAGGCUAUUGGCUCUGUUUGUAUAGCUACAAGGGUAUGAGUUAGGGAAAGAGUGUGAGAUUUGAGAGGGACUAGGAAGUUCUUUGAUUUUUAUUUCCUUUAGUAUUUGGUAAUUUUAUAUGUGAAUACAGUAUGUUUCGAUCUAGCAAGCCUUUUUGAGCCAAUUCUUGCAUUGUUCUGGUAUGAUAUGAUUUCCAUCUGCGUUUUCAAGUGUAGAAGGAGUUCACACCUUUAAAAUGUGGUUCAGAUUUGCCGAGGGGGGGAAGCGUCCUGUUUCACGGUGUUUCCUGUCCACACACUCACAGGUGGAAGACACAGUGUGGAGGUGCCAGCGUCCUGCCACCCUGAACUGUGGCCCUUCCCUCACGGGUUGUGCUUCACCUACGCUUUCCUGGGCCUAGGAUGGCUGCCCAGGUUUAAAGUAGCAGCUCUUAAAAUAGCUGGAAGUGGAUGCAGAGUUCAGGUUUAGUUAAAGGGAUUUCCAGGCACUCGCACGCACGCUUGUGUGCUCACUUGCAUGCCUGUGUGACCGUGUGUGCCUGCGUAUGAGCUCCAUGCGACCAUUUACACAGGGUCCAUUGUGAGAGCAAAUGCCGGGUGUGGAGUGCGAGAAGGAAGAGGGGGAGGCCUGCAUCUAACCAUCCUGGAGCAGUUGCUCAGAGCAGCAUUUAGUGUUUUAUUAGGAGAGAACAAGUCUAUAAAAGGAACAAGAGGUUCAAUCAUUACAGAGUGGGCGACAGGAGGCAGCUGCCAGGAUGACUUUGAAACCCUUUGAGAUCCUAGAAGAGUUGCCACAAGUAACACACUGCAGCUGCUGGGGUCAUUCAGGGAAGAUGCAGAACUUGGCACCCGAGCACCCUGCACCCUGCACCCUGUGGUGGGACUCUAGAUAAGUCCCUACCCCACUCUCAUGGCUUCCUGUAUUCGUUCUCUUUUGUUUCCAAGUAGGUUUGAGAGAAUUAGAAGCCCACAGCCCCCUAGUGUGAUUUAAAGAGAAAAGAAAGAUCAUGCAUGCUUGGGGGCUGGGCUGGUAGGACUGGGUUGGGGGAACUCAGGGGCCGCCCCACUCUUGCCCACAGAACUUACACUUAAUGAAUACAUUGCCAAGGUUUGCAAACCAUCGCUUGCAUGAUGUCAUGAAAGGAACAAAGUGUGUGAGUUUGUUUUUGUGCAAUCUACCUGGCAUGUCUGUUUCUCAUCAGCACAUGGAGAGUACUUGCAAAGUUGAACCCCUCAACUUUAAAUUUUUCCAAUUAAAUCCUAUAAAGUCAAGCAAUAAGCGUUGUCCAGAUAAGCCAGAAGAAAGGUUAUUUAUGAUGGGUUAUUCUUGACAAAUACAUUAUUUGAUAUGUGUGUAAAAAUUUUUGAUAACGCUUUCUCAAAGAACAAAUGCCAAAGAAUGAAGGCUGCUGGCUGGGAGAAUUCCUGUGAACGGUGAGCAUGCUCAGAGACCAGCAGCGUGUCCCAAGGACCCUGGAAGAGAUGGGGCCCCAGCCUUAUGAGCAGAGGACAGAUUGGGGGAGGGGUAGGAGAUGAAUGUGGUAACAGCCACAAUGUAUAUUUAGAAGGGACUCUUCUCACAGCCUAAAAAACCCUUUUCCAAGCUUCUAGCCCCAGAGAGGCUGGUCACUUCUCCUUACUUUCCUGGUCUACUACAGUUUAAAACCAUUCCCGGGGUUGGGGAUUUAGCUCAGUGGUAGAGCGCUUGCCUAGGAAGCGCAAGGCCCUGGGUUCGAUCCCCAGCUCCGAAAAAAAAAAAGAACCAAAAAAAAAAAAAAAAAAAAAAAAACCAUUCCCGCUCCGACUCCAUGGAGAGUCAAAGAAAUCAACAACUGUCCUUUAACGUCCCCUACCCCAUCCCCAUAGCAGCGUCAAACAGAAAUAAUGAAUUUUAACCAUGUUUACCCUGUUACCUUCUCUCAUCACCCCACCCCCAUCAUGGAAGCCCUUCUUCCCAGCAGGCCCUCCUCCCACCACUUCCAAGUCUGUGCGCAUGUGUGACUCACUGAGUUAAAUGACUGCUGCUUACGUGAAUACGGCAAGUUAAAUGACUGCUGCUUACGUGAAUACGGCAAGUUAAAGGUUAUUUAUUAGAGCACAGACACGUUACCAGUGCUUCCUUCCAUUUUGUUUGUUUGUUUAUUAUGGCAGGGUCUCAAGCCAGUUUGACUUCAAACUUCCUCUAUAAUCAAAAAUGACUCUGAAUUCCUUUUGAUGUGUGGUGGGUGUGGUAGAGUGUGUGCACACAUGAGUAUACAGGUGUGCAUCCCCAUGCAUGUGCAGGCAGAAGCUACAGGAGGAUGUCUGGUCUUUCUCUGUCCUGUUACUAAAGUCUGAAGCUCACCAUUACAGAUAGGCUGCCUGGCCUGCGAUCUCCCAAGUUCUACCUGUCUGUGUCACCUACCACGGGGGUUACAGGUGUACACCUGGAUUUUCACAGCAAGUGUCCUUACCCACUGAGCCAUACCCUACACCUGGAACCUCUGAUACCCUUGCUAGGAAAACCCAUGUAGGAAAGCAGAAGAAGACCUUAUUCUGUCCCUUGGAACCAGGCAUCCUCAGACUCUGGCUCACAUGCCCUUAGGCCAUUACCAUGUGGUCAGGGGUCAGCAAUGAUCAAGGCCACUGGAGAAAAGAUGGUUGGGGGAUACAGUGUACAGAACUGCACAUGGCCUUGUGUUCCUGUCCCAGUCUGUGCAGAAGAUCAACUAGAAAUUGCACCUUGGCAGGUCACAGUGUCUGUGACCACGACAGUGUAGUGGUUCACUGCAGAAUUCUGACCACCAAACUUAAGACCCGUUGUUUAAAAAAUAAACAAACAAACAAACAAACUAAGCAUAAACUAAUACAUGCCUUUAAUUAAUCCCAACUAUUUGAGAAGUAUGCCAGGAGGAUUGCAAGUUUGCUGUCAGCCUGGGCUACAUAAAACCAAAACAGAGUCUGGAGAGAUGAUCGGGUUAGGAGCACUUGCUGUUCUUACAGAGGACCCAGAUUCAGUUCCCAGCACCCACAUAGUUGUUCACAACUGUCAGUAAUUCCACCUCCAGGGAAUCUGAUGCCCUCUUCUGGCGUUCACAGGCACACAUUAAAAGGCAGGCAAACACUCACACACAUUAAUCUUCCAUAACAGAUGACUUCUGUGUUUUUUAAUUAAAUAAAUGAAGACAGUAACUGUAUUGAAGAAAUACCAACUCCUAAAAUAGGGUCCCAGCUGUGCGGUAGGACCAUGGUGUCUCUACCCUCACAGGGGUUGAACCUGUUCGAAGGACAAAGAACAGCCUCCCAGCCUGGGAAGGGCUACCCAUCCCAAGUCUCUAAACAUCAGACUAAGCCCAAUGAGGAGCAAGCAGAGUUAUGUUAGCCACAGCAUGGCAUUCAGAAUUCCUUUUGUUAUUAAAAAAUUCCACACUGGUCGUUUGGGUUCAGGAAGCCUGAGCAGGGAUAAGAAGCAGGGCUUUUGUCUGGUGCUGUUUUAAUGAACUGCUUCAGGUGUUGUCAAGCUGGCUUUGAAAGACCCCGAGAAGCACACAUGGCUCUCAGACCCAGGUUGGGUGGCAGCAGUGGCAGGCCCCACUGUGGUGUGUCCUUUCCUCCCCACAGUGUGUCAAGGUUCUCGAAUAAGAAUAGCAAAGUAGAGUGGGGCAUGGAGCCCCACCCAUGGGGAUUCAGCCUGUAUUUGAUAUACCUGAAUGCUAGGAGACUGCCCCAAAUACAUAUUCUCUUGAACCGGUGUCUUGCAUUCGAGUCCUUUGCCCCCAGACUAUGGCACUCUGCUGCACCUGAGUCUACAGAGUGACAGAUCAGUUAAGCAUUCAGCCACCCUGGUGAUACAGAAAGUUAAAAACACUUCCAUCCAUGUGGCCAAAGUCAGGGUUAUUGCUGAUGACUGCGAGGGCUGCUACUUUAGGGAAGAGACAAGCCGAGAAUCCCACCGUUCCUUGACAAAUCCUGUUUGGAGACCAGUUUCCCCGCCCCCACAAGAUGUGUUUCUAACCCUCAAAGGGUAUCUGUGUGUCAGGCAAGCUGCUCAAGGCGGGCAGUCUGGACAGGGGACACCCUUGAAAUGGGUCACAACAUCUACAGUGAUGGGGCAGGCAUAUGUAUCCUUCCUGAAACCUAAUUCUCAAGUAAAGGCUUGUGAUCUAAGGAGCAGGUGGUCACAGCCAGAGGGCUGUGGGUGACAGGAACUGCAUCAAAGCAGUCUCACUCUGUAGGAGAGAACAGGGAUGGAGAGAUCUAUCAUUGAGACAACCACUGCUUAGCACUGUCCUCAAGGUGAAGGACAAGGUAAGAGUUCUGUUGCAUGACUGUGUCUCUCUGGGGGAAACUACUGUGUCAGUGCUAUGCCUGGGCAUCACCCUCCAGAUGAAAGUUCUUCGUCUGAUUGUUCACAUUUGUGUGUGCUUGGGAGUGUGCACAGAGAAGGCCAGCGGUCCACCUCAGGGACAUUCUCAGUCCCUCCUCACCUUAUUGUUUGAGACAGAAUCAAUCUCUCACUGGACCAGGGAGCCUCAGGGGACAUGCCUGUCUCUGCCCCAGCCCUGGGGUUUCAGGCAUGUUCCCCUCCGCCCAGCUCUUUACUAUUCAUACUAUACGCUGUAGCAUGUAUACUAUAUAUACACUGGGGACUAAACUCAGGUCCUUAUGUUAAUACAACAGGUGCAUAGUCUUACCCCCACCCCCAUUUUGUCACCCUUUUACCGUAUGACCUGUUUCGGCUGCCAUUCAGGUCAUAAGACUCAUCUUGUUGAAACGCCUGUCAUUGUCUGAAAUGUCUAUUCCAAACUUUCAGGUCUUCUGUGGACUUUCCUACUUUCCUUCCUUCUUCCUUUUAAGGGAAAAGAAAAGAAAGAUUGUGGCAUAGGUGCUCGUGGCCGGCCCACUUGGGCAUCAUCUCCAGCUAGAGUGCUCUUCCAGCCUAUCCGCUUUCUCCUCCCUCUGUAGCUUCUAUAGGAAGAAGACGUUUACCAGAAGGCUCCUCCGGUUCCUUUGGUUCACUUGUUUAUUCAGUAGCAGUUUGUGAAGUGCCAGGCGGGCACAUAGAGGGUCUUCCUUGAGAAACUGAGGCCUGGAACAAUCUUAAAGAACAAGUUAGGAUCUGCAGUUAGUUGGGCCCAGCAUGGCAUGCGCGCAAGGGAGGGCAGAGUUCAAAUGGAACUCCAUUGGCUGAGGAAAGCCAGUGUUCAUCCUUGCAGCAGAAUCAGUAAGACAGUAACAAGUUGGUCUUGAGGAGCUUAGAUAUCACAGUAGUGAGACUUUAGGCCCUCCUGGAAUUUUAAGCAAGAUAAUAUUAUAUAUGUGUUCCAGAAAACCUACCUUGACCAGAGUUUGGAAAAUGAAUUGAAGGGGGUGAGGCUGGAUCCAGAAAAUCCAUUCAGUGCAAGCUAUAUUGAUCCUGGUGGAAAGUAACAACUGCCUGAAGUUCAGAGGUGGUCGGAGGAGGGGAGAGGGGCCAGAAUGUCAGCAGACUCCGUAAGAAGAUUCCGGGAAAGUUAAGUUUUAGCUUCACAGCCCAGUAGAAAGCAGAGGUGUGUGUGCACAGAGGAGGAAGAUGGAGGGAAGAUGUUUACUUUGGAACACAGUGGAUAUAGAGAGCUGCUUAAAGGAGAACUGAGAGUUGGGAAUGCAGCCUAAUGACAGGGCACUUAGCAUGUCUGAGAUUCGUGGGGCAGUGGGUUCCUCACCCGGCUCAGGGGAAAACUGAGAAGAAAAUGGGGGCACCACCAUCACUACUAAGAAAUAGAGGGCAAAGUCGUGCACCCUUUUUGACUUUUCUUUAUUGCUGUAGACUGUGCAAUGCUUUGUUGGGGUGGGGAUGUGGAGAAGGGCGUGUGGGAACUCUUCAGCAUUGCAGAGAAGUUAGAAUAAACCCUAUUGUUGAGAGUAUUUUCCAAAAUUUGACCAGAUGUUUCAGCAAAUUAGCAAAUGAUUAAAGCAGCAGUCGGCUUAGACCUAGACCCCUGUGGGAAUCAGCAAAGAAGCAAGACUAAGAGAGAGCCUUACUCUGGUGUUCUCACUGGUGGAGAGCUUAGUCUGCUAGGGGUCCCUGAAGGUGGAUGGGCAGAGCCAAAUCCAGGCAGGCUGAAUCAGGAGAGGGCUGAACAGGGAGCAUAGAAAGAGAACUCAGAAUCUCGUCUGUCCCUCCAUAGUUAAUAACACAUUUUAAGCUAUUUUAGUACUUUAAAAGAUGCUGUUUGUGCUAGGGAGAUGGCACAGUGGGUGAAGUAUUUUGUCACAGAAGUGUGAAGACCUAAGUUCAGAGCCCAAGAACCCACAUACAGCUUGGUGUCUAAUUCCAGCCUUCCUACCUGGAGAUGGGAGGUAGAGGCAGGAGGCUUGCAAGGCUUGCCUGGCAUACAUAUUGGCAAGCCACAAGAGAAGCAAACUGAAAGACAAUGAAACAGCCAGUAUCCUAUGGCUUCCUCACACAUUUGCAUAACAAAUACACAAAAAAAUAGAAAAUAAGUUAAAUAUUUCUAACGUGUUCAAGCUGAAUGUAGUUAAAUAUGUUUGGUGUACUCCUAACAUUUUGGAGAACAGACACUAGGAUCAAAUGUUUAAGACAGUCUGGGCUAUAAGGUAAGACCUUGUCAGUCCUCUAAAAAAAGAUGGUCUCCAAGUGCUGCAGAGAAACAAUUGAUGACAUUUUUGUCAAAGCAAAAUAACCCUAUAACUUCAGGCAGGGCUAUGGGCAAGUAAAUUAUCCUCUGAAAAGUUAGCUUUGUUCCUUACAAAGUUAAUCACCCAUCCUAGCAGAUGUCUACGGUUGAAUUCAACACUUUCAUUCAUAUCUGUCUGUCUCAGGUUUGAAAAGUCCAUGAGUCCUACUUAGAAUAGUAGAUUCUCCUUUCUUACCAGAGAUUGAGGCCUGGACACCAGCAGACCACUUCAGUGACUGUGCACGUGCUGUGCAGGGAUAAGUACUGGGGCUGGGAACUCACCAGAGACUGGCACCAGUUCUGAACCCACUGGGGUUCAUUUAGGAUGCCAGGGCUAAAAAUCAACUACAGACCAACCCCUAAAAAUAACCAACAAUAGCAGCAGAGAUAGUCAGAUUUGAAUCAGUUUGUCUGUGUGUUGCUUUAUAACCUUAACAUUUAAAUAAAAACAAGUGGACAGAAUGUAGUAUCCAGCCUAGGGGAACAAUGCCCUAUGUGCCUGGACACAUGUGCCUGUGUCUGAGUAAACUCCAGUGGUUUUUCACUCUCUGGCUGGGAAGUGAUAUUGAUAAAGAGUGUGGAUGACUAGACAGUUUUACAUCUUUUCCAAAGGAGAUUGAGAACCCCGGCCUCCCCAGAGAGAGACCUGAGACAUGGCUCCUGUGCCCUGUCACUUUCUGCAUCUAAGGGUACCUCCUCCAUAUUUAUUCUUGUGGCUCCUCUGCUUCUAUGGCAACAGGCAGUUUAGUGCCCUCCAAGUGCAGGCCAUCUCCCCACUCAAAAGUCACGUAGUUUAAGACUUAACAUUGCAAACAGGGCAUAGCAGUAGACACCUGUAAUCCCAGUCCUUAAGUAGAGACUGGAGGCCCAGAGCCACAUAGUAAACUGAGGGCAGUCUGGGAUCUAGGAAACCCUGUCUUAAGGGUUUGGCCAUGAGGUGGAGGGGAGAGAGAAAUGAAAAUCAUAUUACAUUGAAAAAUAUGGGAUUCUGAGUAAGAUUGAGAUAGCAUUUGAAUUUGUUCAUGUAAAAGGCCAUUUCUAUCUUUAGAGGGCCUGGGAUUCCUGUCAGAAGCCAUCAAUUGUCACCUUCUGAUGGCAGCUGCCGGGUAUCAAAUGUUCGUUUCUCCCACAUGCAUCAGAGGUCCAGAGAGGUUGCGUUACAGGCCUGUGGUCACACAGUGGUGAUCAGGAAGCAUCAGACAUGGUCCAGGUGGCAGUGAAACUGAAAUGUUUGGACUCUGACAGCACAGUUCAGGAAAAGGAUGUCAGUCCACAGAAGGGGCAUACAGCAUCACCUUCAGGUCCCCUUGCUCUCCCAGGGGAACUUUAUUUUCUACUUUCCUGAAUUCUAUUAUGACAGGUUUGGGUUUUUUUUAAAAAAAUGAUGUAAAAUUUAUGUGUAUGUACGUGCAUGAAAAUAUGUGGCCACUCACAGAUACAUAUAUAGAAGAUGAAAGAGAAAAAUGGACAACUUAUAAUUACAGAUAUUUUUGUUCAUCUGGUAUCCAGAUGAUCCCCCUUGAUUCUGACAGUUUUGACAAAUCAGUUUAUUAAAAUUGUAAAUGUAACCCAGAGCUGUUUAGUACAGCUCCAAGCAGAAGGUGCUUUUCUCCUCCCAUUAUAUUUCGCUGUCACAUUAUUAGAAGUAAAUACAGAUCAAGACAAAAGAGCCAGGCUUCGGGGAGAAAGAUGGGACUCACUGGCUGCUGUCCCACAGGGUUCUGCUGUCCAAACCCUAAGGAUGUUUCCAUGUGGCUUUAACCUUGACCAGGCAUAAACAGGGUCUGGUCCCCAUGCCCGCCCUCUACCCCUGCAAUUCCUUCCUGACCCCUUCAAAGAGUGAGUUCGCUCCCUCAGCUCCCACCAGGCAGCAGGAGAUAUUAUUCGGGUGACUCUGGAAGCAGGAAAUAAUCAGUGUGGUGGAUUUUGAUUUGGGAUCGGUAGGACAUGGUGCAUGGACAAAGCCACUGGGAGAUUGCAUGGCCACAGCAUGGCACAGGGAGGCAGGGCAGAAUGGGAGAAGAAAUGUGCAAAAAGUGGGGCUCAAUGUAGCUGCUGAAGGGGAGAGAGAACUCCUGCCCUCCUCUUCUUGACUUUUACUUUAGUCUGUCAACUGCUGUAGAAAGUCUGGCCAAGUUUUUACUUCCGGUCCAAUUAGCUUCAGCUGGCUCGAUUCAGGCCACUCUUGCUUUUGUCAUGCUCUCUUUGCUCACCCCUUCUCUGUCUGCAGUCAUUCAUAAAUCAGCCUUUAUCUGUGUUGAGGCAAGGCAUCUUCAUACUUGGAAUAGUGUCUAUCUGUCUUAUCUGUUUUGAGACAUAAUCUCACUUUGUAGACCAGGCUGACCUCAAACUCUGCUUCUGCUUCUCAAGAACUGAUAUGAAAGGCGUGUGCCACCACAUCUGGCAAUAUUUUUUAACUUAUUUUUUAAUUAUGUGCAUGGUGGGGAGGGGUAUGAGGGUGUGCAUGCAGGAACCCAUGGGGGCAGAGUUGUCAGAUGUGCUACAACUGAAGUCGUGAGUGGUUCUGAGCCUCCUGGGGUGGGUAGUUGGGGUACUCUGGUCCUCUGCAAAGCAUUAUGAGCUUUGCACUGCUGAGCCAUCUCUCUAGCUUCUAAUUGGUUAUUGAUUUUUGAGGCAGAUUUUCACCUCUCCCAGGCUAUCCUCAGACUAGCAUUUUAUCCAAGGAUAACACUGAGCUCCUGAUCUAGUGCCUCUGGCUCUCAAGUCCUGAAAAAAAAAUGGGCAUAUGUAAUGGGUUUUAUGUAAUGGUAGAGGUCAAAGCCAGAGUUUUGUGCCUGCUAGGCAAAUUCUCCUUCCACUGAGCUGAAUAUCCCUAGCUUUUCAGAAUUUUUUAAAUGAAUAAAAUAAAAUUUUAGGAACAUAAUUACUAAAAUACUUUAAAUAACUGCAUAUUUAUGAGUAGUAAUGUAUGCACUUGGUUUAUUUUAACUUAGUAAAUGAGCAGAAUUAUAACCAUAGUUUCAAAGUUGUAAUUUGUGAACACCAAGAAUGAGCAACCAAUAAUCCACAGUCUGCUAUUAUAAAUAAAGUUUUAUUGGGAUGCAGCCAUGUACACAUCUAUGUAUGUUAUUAGAUCUGUUUUCAUUCUACAAGAGCAGAGUUCAGUAUGGUUCUCAAACCCUAAAAUAUUUGCCAUCUGGACCCUUAUAGGAAAAAAAAAAUCUUCUCAAUCCUUGGUUUAAAUUGUAACAAUAAUAGUAGGCAGUAAACAUACCAAUUUUUAUUGCUGACAGUCGCAGGGCCUGCUAGCUACUGGGUUUCCCCCACAUUAGUCAGUGAUAUAAAUGCUCAACUUCAGCGAGAAGCUGGUGAAAAUAGAGGUGUGAUUUGUUUUCCAUGUGAGAUCACCUGAAUUCCAUUCAGACAUCCCUUAGAGGCUUGUGGUCCCGGGUUAGGGACUUCUGAAUGGAUUAUAGUUGAGUGAUGUUUUCACAGAAGGAAGUCAGUCAUUCCUAUGCCAUGUAAAACAUCUGCACCCUGCAUUCCUCUCCACUCAGCCUAUUUUCCUGUAAAGGAACUUUAGGUGGCAAGUCAAAGAGAAGUCAAGCCUUCCUGAGGAUUAGGUGAGCAGCGUCGCUGAGGAUGAAGGCUCUAUGCCACAAAGAUGCCAUCUUGCUUGAAGAAGUCAAGUUCUAUCAUCCAACACAUAGAAAAUUUGAGUUUUGGGACUGGGGAGCUGGCUCAGGCAAUAAGGUGCUUGCCACACAAUCAUGAGAACCUGGGAUUGCUUCUAUAGCCCCAGCACUGUGGAAGCAAAGCCGGGUGUCCCCAAACCUCACUGGCCAGUCAGCCAAGCAGAUACAGUCUCAAGAAAUAAGAAGAUUGAGAAAGAUAUCCAACAUGGCCCCCUGGCUUUUGCACCCAAAUACACAUGCACCAACACACAUGUGCAUGCACAGGACCACAUAUAUACACAAAGAAUAGUCUCAGGAGUCUUCUCUACACACAUAGUUAUUAACAUCUCCCUGUUCCUCCCCUGCCAGGAGACAAGGUCAGAAUUUUUGACUGGCUUGAUCUGGUAUGCGUCUUGUGAAGGAGAUUGUAACUGCUGUAGUGAGGUCCUAAGUGAAAGGGCCAUGUCAUGUCUGGAAGACAGCACGUCUUACAUUCUUUCUGCUUCCUCUUUCAUGAGGUUCCCUGAGCCUUGUGUGGAUUGAUGUAGAGGUACUGGUUAGGGGUGACCACCCGACAGCUUCUUCUCCUCAGCACAAGUUCUCCAUCUCUGCAUCAACUGUGCCCACUCCAUGAAGAUGCCACUCUAAUGGAGGUUGAAAACAGCACAGUCUAUGAGUGUAGACAUAAAUUAUUUAGAAGGCAGUUUGACAGCAUGUCCCCUUAUCCUCUGCUAGGGCAUGUGUCCUCUCCAGCCAUGACUUUUGACCAGGUUUACAAUACCAGGCAUGAGUUCCCUCCUGUGGAGCAGGCCUUAGAUCAAAACAGGAAGCGGUUGGUUAUCCCAGAGCGGUCAUGCCAAUGUUGCACCCAUGUGCACAUUCUGCUAGCACAUUUUAGACUCUUGGCUAUUAGAAUAUUCGCUUUAAUGUAAAUUUAGAGCCAGAAGUUGAUUCAGAAUAUUCUUAUGCUAAUUUAUUUUAUUUUGACUUUGUUAUUAUUUUGAUAUUUUAUUUUUGAUUAGAGGUGUGUGUCUGUACUUGAGUGCAGGUACCCAUGGAGGCCAGAAGAGGGUGUCAGAUUCCCUGGAGCUGUGUCCUUUGAAAAAAACCAUAUAUGCUCUUAGCUUCUAAGCCAUCUCUCCGGCUCAUUGUUUUGGUUUUGUUUUGUUCUGUUCUGUUCUGUUUUUUAGAUGAGCUACUAUGUAGACUAGCCUGGUCUGACCCAAAGUCUAUCCUCCUGCCCUAGUCUCCCAAGCUUAGGGAUUAUAGGUAUCUGUCGCCGUACCUGACAACUAACUUCAGUGUGGUAAUCAGCUACAUCAGUGUGGUUGCAUCAGUAUAACACACAUGAACUUAUAAAGCAAAGGGGUGCAGUCUGGACCAGUCUGGUAGUUCCAGUUAUCAUCAACUGGCCCCAUUGCUUUAGGGCUGUGGUGGGACGCAUGGCCAGGCGUAAGUGUUCACCCCAAGAGUUGUGAAACAGGGAAGAGAUAACAGGGUUUUGACCAUAAUGGCUAAGGACCUCCUCCCACAGAUUCCACCACCUCCCGUAUGGCCACCCUCCUAUAUUGAAACCAUUAAGGGACAUCCUACAUCCACACUACAACAGAUAGCCCCCAUUAAACCAGUAUCUGGUUUAGUCUACAAGGUCCCUGCCGUUACUACUCCCACUGUGCUGCUCAGAAGAGGAAGAUGCCAGCUUAGAUGACAGUGUCACCUGCUAGGAUUCUAGCAUUUAUUUUUCCAGCUUUCAGAAAAAAGCCAGCGUUACUUUUAGCUCAGCCGUCAUUUCCAGGAUCAGCAUCAUCCUUGACUGUGCUUCUUUCCGGGUCCUGUAGCUUAAGUCCUGUGGAGAAUGGCAGCGAGAUGGACAAGCUCUGGCCAUUGACUGGGAGCUCUAGGGUCUUUGUUGCUUCCCUCCUCUCUUUUCUAUGAAUUAAGGACUUAGAGAGGGAAAACCACCCAUAAGAUCCCUCCCAGGGCCAUGUGAUCAGCUGUGGUCCUCAGAUAUUUGAGACAGCCCAACUUUUGCCCUACUGCCUAGGAAAGCAAACCCUUGCCAGAUACUGGGCCCCUGAUGCCGGUCAGUAGUGCCAUCUUCCCAGGCAGAGUGAUCUGCUGAUGCAGCAAAGCUCAGAGAGUAUUGAUUUUCCAGAUAGCGUUUGAAUGCCAUCUCACUGAGAUCAAGUACAGAGGCUUGAUGGGAAGCUAGAGCCGCAGGCUGCUUGCAAGGGCCCUGGUCUCUUGGCAUCUUGUAAGCUGUCUAAACCUAAGUGGGAAGACGUUCCUCGUGUAUAAGAGAGAGGAAAGCAUGUGUCUGUGUCUGUGCUUUGGGAUGCUGCAAUAGCCUGUAGGGUUGGGCUGCCCUGGGUAUGCAGUGCAGUGAGUAGCACAAGUCCACAAAGCUCUGUGAGCAGGGAGUGUCACUGAUCCACUUGUGUCUGAGACCCAUCUAGCUGUGGCUCCUGCCCUGCCCCGCUUCAGGAUGCUGAUUUCAACUGACAGCCUUCCCACCUGCUGCUCAUUGGACGCCUGUGUUCUCUCCUCCGGCCGUCACCUCUCAUUACCACCCCGACUUCCUUUUCAGGGAGUGGGGUAUGGGACCUGGCCAACCAAGGAAGAGGGCACAGGUACAAGUGGGCAUUUUCUCCUGCGUUGCCAGUGUGUGACUGGGCACAGCCUGAAGAAGCAGUGCCAUCCCAUCCAGUUCGGUUCUCCUUGUGUUGGGCCUAUAGUGUUUGUGCUGUGGUUUCCCGUGAAUGCCUCUGACAUCCUGGGUCCUAAACUCCUAGAAAGCUGAGACUAAUCAGCUCUGUAUUCAGUAGGUGGAUGAAGGGAGGUGUAACGUCCCUCUCUUCUCCAUUCUAGUCAUCACCUACCUACACCUUCUCGGUGCCCUGUGGGGUAGGGCUGAACCCCAGGCCCACGUGAUAACACUGAAGCCAUCCUGUCAGCAACACUAGAGUAUCGCUUCAUCCUCAUUGCCCCUCCCCCCCCAAUUCCUCCCUCUCCAGAGUGCCCAACCUUCUGCCUCUGGGUUUUCUUACACCCAGGGUAGUUAGUUAUGAAUACUGCCCAACACAAUUAAAACAUUGUGAGUUUGUUUCAUGUUUGUAGUUUCAUGUGCAUGACUUGUGCAGUUCUUUGUAGCUAACAACAAUAGUGUCUUGAUGUCACACUUCACAUACUUCUCAUGUUAGGUCUUUCUCCUUUUCUCCUCAUUCCCACUCCCAAGUAUCUACCUCCCCCAACACACGCGCGCGCGCGCACACACACAGACACACACACACACACACACACACACACACUUUUGUAUUUUGUGUAUAUGGGUGUUUUACCUGUGUGUGUGUGUGCAUUACAUGCAUGCAGUGCCCUCAGUGACCACAAGAAGGUGUCAGAUCCCCUAGGACCAGAGUUGUGAGCCUUAUUGUGGGUGCUGGGGGUUGAACCCAGGUCCUCUGAAAGAGCAGCCAGUGUGACUGACUGUCUGCUGAGCCAUCCCUCUUCUGACCUUCACAUUGACUUCCACUUACCUGUUUUAUGACACUGACUCUGAAAACCUGACAAACAUGUGUUCGAAGCUGUAUUUUCUCACUUCGUGUAUAAACCUGAGUUAGCUCCUUAAGCCGUCUUCCAGUGCAGACAUACUUUCUAACACACUGAACUACCAACCAGAUUAAGUGGGGUGGCUGUAUUUGGUGCAAUCUUCCCUGUCUUGAUACUCUGACAGAUCAUUAUACAGUGAAUAAAAUAAGAAUAUUCCUUAGGUCUGUGAACUCUGAACUUGGCCCUGAGGCUUAUGCCCACGGGUCUACCCUGGGGACACUUCACAUAAAAUCGUAGUGCCUUGGCGCUGGGGUGGUACCUUGGCUGCAACUCUAUUAGCUGGAAUACAGUCCGACAUAUAGCUAUUGGAGAAUUGCAGACUCUGGCUUUUAUUGGCGUACUUGUAUUUUCUGUGUAUAGGUAUUUUGUCCGUAUGGAUGCCAGAGCACAGAGUACAUGCAUGGUGCCCACAGAGGCCAGAGAGGGUUCAUCUGGAGUUACAGCUUUGAGUCCCUAUUUGGGUGCUGGGACUCGAACCCAGGUCUUCUGGAAGAGCAGCAAAUAAUUAGCCAUCACCCCUGCCCCCCUUUUGGCUUUUAAGAGAAAACACAAUUUGGCUUAAGUAUUAGCACAUGCAGCAUUAAAACACUGUCUGAGAAGGCUGCCCUCUAAGACACCGCUCUGCAGGUAAGCCUAGGUACUUUCUGCUAACUUCUAUUUAGUGGAACUCCGGGUUUUAGUUCAGGCAUCAAUUCUGUCAUUUUUCCUGCCUCAGAUCUUUCUAGAGCAGUUCUAGGCUUAAUAACCUUGGACCAGUUUCACGAGCUUCGUGGUUCUCCCACAAACCAGCUGGCUUGGUCAGAGAGAAGGGGCCAAGGCCAGGGCUUAGCUCAAGCUGACACCACUCCUGUGCCUCCCCGCUCUGUGUUCUUUGCCUGGAGCCUGGGGUUCCCUUGGAGCUGCACCCCAAGGGAAUGUUUCCAACUGUUUUCAGGCUCCUUUUUGAGGAGCAACGAAGCCUCUCCACUCCUUACUUCUAUUACAAAACACUGGAGUUCACUUGAAUGCUUGGAGGCUUAGUGUGGAGAAGAGUCCAGCCUUUCCUUCCCACAGACAACAGAGAGCCUAACCAGAGCUGCCUUGCCUCUGUCUGGCCUCCAGCUAAGAUGCAGGCAGUCCCUUUGAACUGCAUCUUCUUCCAUUUGAUGUCUGUCUACUUAUGUAAGACAGAAAUAAUCCCGUUCUUCCUCAGUGAGAGUGUGCCAGAGUACAUUAGUGAAGUAUUCAGAAAUAAAAGAAACUGUAAUUCUGAGAAACCAUGGAGGGGGCUCUGGCUAAUUUCACAUCUAAGUGUUCUACGUUUCCCCAAACAUUCCUGGAUAAGGACUUAAUAACUAAUUCAGGAAAUAACUAGAUAAAGCAUAUAACUGAAACUUGUGAUGAAUUUUCUAUGACCUUCUAUUACAGAUUUCUAAAGACUUUUUAUUCUUAAUAGUGUCUAUCUGUGCAUGGAUUCGUGCACAGGAGUGCAGUGCCUGUGGUGGCCAGAAGAGGGCACUGUAUCCCUGGAGCAGGAGUCACAGGCUGUUGGGAGUCACCCAACAAGAGAAGUCAGCAAAAGCAGAAUGUACUCUGAACUGUUGAGCCACCGUCCAUCUCUCCAGCACUCAUUUUCUUUUCUUUUUCCCCUCUUGUAGACAAAGUCUCGUGUGACCCAGACUGGACUCUAACUAACUAUGGCCUUGAACCUAGAUCUUCUUUCCUUUACCUCCCAAGUGCUGGGACUGUGGGCUCGAGCCACCAAGCCCUGUUGUUAAUACCGUCUCUUUUCUCAACCUCCUUGAGGACAUAUAUCAGAUAACAAGCAUUUGGACAGUUGAAAACCACCGUGUUUGAUGCUUCCUUACUAUCUGGAAUUAUCUUGCAUUGCAAGCUGUUUACAUACAGAACUUGGCCCUGAGGCUUAUGCCCACAGGUCUGCCCUGUGGACACAUUACAUAAAAUUGUAGUGCCACAAAUGUUAAAUAAUACACCUUUAUACCACUGUGACUUCCAGCUUCCAGACAGGGAUGGAAUUGAGCGAAUAAGUCAGGUGUUUUGUCUCAUUGUUUUUUGUUUUCCCCGUUGAACAAACACUUGGAAGAAUGUGAUGUGGGACCAGGGUAUUUGGGUCAGAGGCUGGCCAGGUGACAGAAUUUAUGCAUCCCAGUGCUAUAAACAGCAGUGGAUACAACCGGCCAAGCCCCGAAGCGUGGCUGAGUGUGUGGGGGACUCUGGAAGGUGUCGCUUAUGCCAUUCGGCAAAUAUUUCUACUCAGGCCUUCGGUUGGUUUAUAGCAUUUCAUUUUACAGCCCAUCAUAAUGAUAGUAACCCCAGAAAACAUCAACAAGCCAUUAGAAACUAUGGUGUCAGAAGAUGGAUGUGACCCCAGAGGCCCCAUCACAUCCCCUCCUCCCAUCACGCCCCCUCAAGCAUUCAGUGAAUUUUUCUACCCAAAGUGGUUGCCAUGGGUCUUGGGUCAAAGGAGGCUAUUUGGAGGAACUUUUCUAAACAUGUGAUGUACUAUUAAGUGUUGAAGGCGCACUCUAAAAACCAGGAGGCAUGCACAGACCCCCAGCCCCUCUCGGUGAGUAAGACAAAAGGCAGCAGGAUCUAUAAAUACAGUAGAGUGCUUUAGAAGGCUGCGGCGGCAGAAGGCAACACGAGAGGGAAAGCAGGAGGAAUCACUCUGUGACACCGAGGGUGCUUUCUCCCUGCAAGCACAGCCUCCCAAGACAUUUUCCAUUUCUGAACAAGGAAACAACAAUUACAUUUUAAGUUGCAUUGGUUAAGAACAGAGAAGUAUAACUUGGCAUGAGUCCCCUGUGCUAGCCUUCUAGAACAGAUUGGUCUGUAACACCACACUAAGUCUGUUUUCUAUCAGAGAUUCCAAGCCAGCUUAUUAAAUAGAUUUAUACAAUGAAAGAAUCUAAUAACAGAAACAUUCACCUCCUUUAUUACUUGGCAUUAUUUAUGGUUUGAGUUUUUUUAGCUACUUUUUUAUGCACUAGAAUCUGCCAACAUCAUACUUAUAAAGUUUAUGUACCAAAGUGUAAGUAGGCUGGGGAAGGACUGUGCAUGACUCCCUCUGUCCGUGUGGCUUUUCCCAUCCUGUCUUCUGAGUGUUUUCAGUGUGGAAUCCUAUUGCCUUUGGAUUCAUGACUCAAACAAGGUUAAUGCCACCCACCCUCCUCCUCACCCCACUGUAAGGAUGCUUUUCCAGCUUGUCUUAAGUGUACGGAGAAGGAGCCUUAGCUUGUGUGGGGAUGUACAGAAAAGGCUCAGCUGAUUCUUCACUGACUUGUAAGCAUCUCUCAGAAUUUUCAAGACAAAAAAGAUGGCCAGUCCCAAUCUUCCCAUUCAGUACAGUAUAAUGGGGGAUGCUAGACAGGUAGUAGAAAUGUCUAGAGAAGGGGCUGGGGAUUUAGCUCAGUGGUAGAGCGCUUACCUAGGAAGCGCAAGGCCCUGGGUUCGGUCCCCAGCUCCGAAAAAAAGAACCCCCAAAAAAAAAUGUCUAGAGAAGGUAUGGGUGGAUAGGACCUUUGAAUGCUAACCUCAAUGUUACUUCUCCAAGUUGACCUUUUCUCAAGAAAAUAUCAGGAACCAUUCAAAGGGUUAGACCUAUGGGUCCAACAUGGGGACAGAAGGAGGACAUGGCAUGGAAAUAUGUCCUGACCUUCUUUCUCUCCUGACUCCUGCUUGCCAGCUUCAUCACAACAUAAGGAAAUACUGUGAUUCCUUUCUUUUCCAAGAGGAACAGCCCCUUGCUGCCUCCUGCCCUGAAGUGCACCCACCUUUCCCACUUAUUCUUUAAGAAGGGUUUGUGACCCCAAGUGCUUAGGGAUUAUGACAAAAGCACUGCCAGCAAGUGUUGACUUGUGGAUAGGAUCAUGGGUUGAGGCAGAAGGUCAGGACAGGAGGGAGACCAGGAGCCUCCCAUGUGGCUACUUAACAGCUCCCUGAAAAGAAUUCUAUGAUCAAAUGACGGUGUGCUGAGGGAAGUUGUGAAUGUCAGCAAAGGACAUCCGCAUGGCUCCACUGGCCUCUAUUCUACUCUUUAUGAGAUCAGUUAUUUAGAAUGAAGCACAUCUUCAUCCAUUCACCCAUCAGUGGACACCCUGGUUGAUUCUGUCUUGGCUAUAGUAAAGAUAAUAAAGUAAGUAUCUCUUUUAUGUGCUAAUUUCAUUUCCUUUGGCUACAAAUCCAGCGGUAGAAUCACCAAAUGAUGUGGUGGUGGUUGUUUGGUUGGUUUUUUUUUUUCUGAACCUUCAUAUUAUUUUCACAGUGACUGUACUAAACUAUCCCCCACACACAGUGUGUGGGAGCCCCCUUCUUCCCACAGUGUGUGGGAGCCGCCUUCUUGACUUCACCAGCAUUUCACUGUUCUGUCCGAUCAUAGCCAUUCACACUAGGUGAGAUGAUGAUCUCAUUGUAGUUUCGAUAGCACUUCCUUGCCCAGCAGAGAACAGGCUUCCCUCCCCCCCCCCCGUGUGUGUGUGUGUGUGUGUGUGUGUGUGCACGCACGCGCAUGCGUGCACACUCACUGAUAUGUUUUCUUUUAAGAAGUGUCAGAUUUGGGUCAUUAGCCCAACUCUAUAUUGUGUCCUUUUUUCUCUCUUGCAUGGCUUGGGGUCCUUAUGAAUUGGGACAUUGCCAGCUAGCCCUCCCUCUACCAGUUGUGUCUUCUUAGACAAGUUAUUUCACCUAUUCUUGCUUCCAUGUUCAUCCAUAACAUAGAAUGCUUUCAUUCUAACAUUGUUAGGAGGAUUCACUGAGAUCCUAUAUGCAGAACUCUUAAAAUAUUUCCUGAAGCCACCCAUAAAAACUUUAUUUGCAGAGCUGGAGAGAUGGCUCAGCUGUGAGUAAUAUUUGUUUUUCUUGAAGAGGCCCCAGGUUCAGUUCC